GCCAUGUUGCUAUGUUGGUUGUCCCUACCUUUGAGACAUGCUCAAUUUGUUAAAUACUAAUCACACUACUUCAUCUCCACUUGAGUAAAUCUCUAUAAAAGUCAUCACACUACCUUUGUUUAUCCUAGUAAGUGUUAGUUUGGAAGUACUGCACAUACUUCUAUUGGCUUUUAAAUUAGGUAUGGUGCUUAGGUUAAAUAGCCUUCCUUAAUCUGAUUAGACAUGGAGUCUAGUUCGGUUAUUGAGCUAACAACUGCUUGUGUAGACAUUGGUAUAUUUUGUCGGACUAACCCCGGCAGAAGAACUUUCAAUAUCGAUUUGGGAAGUCCUGAGAUAAACUCACAUCGGAGAUGAAGAGAGAGACACAUCAAGUUUAACAAUUUACAUAAGGAAGACGUAGCUCAUAAGAGAUGAUCCAUGGAGGGUGCCACAAACACGAUGCACAAUCGCUAAGAAAGAGAAGUUUCCACAAGGUGAGAUGGUACCAUCACUCUUCAAUUAAGGUAACAUCUUAAGAUAUGUGGCUAUAAUUUUUAUAAGCUUUUCCUUGGUUCUAGCGUUCACAUAAAUAAAGAGACAAACAUGUAUGAUUUAUAACUCCAAAUUAACCAACUCAACUGAUUCCGCAUGUUUAGUUCUUUAAUUUUUGUUCCUAGUACUACCUCUAGGAUCCCACACUCCUAAUCAUAUCAGCUAAAAUAUUACACAUUCAAUCUUUGAGAGAUAUAAAGAAAAAGACAUAUACAUAGAUAGAUUAUCUUUCUAUAAGGUUGAAACGAUCUAAUCUGACAAACGUUAUAAGUGCUACACUCAUGAACUUAUCAUCCAUCAACUUUGUCUUGCUCACUAUGCUUAAGGUUAGAGAAGAACAAAUACACUUUUGGUUCUGUUGGUGUUUUCCACCAACAGGACCGAUGCACUUGAUCUCUGCCUUGUCUCUAUGAGCAGGUACACUUCGAGCAAAACAUGGAGGAGUUUUAUAACUCUCAGACUCUACCAAGUGAAGGACCUCUAUCUACGAGCACAAACACACUGAGCAGGAUACUGCCAACGCCGCACAUCGAACUUCUGGGCAAACGAAGAACAUGGGUGACACCGUAUUGAGAGGUGCAGAUGUCAAGGUCCACACCUGAAUCAAAUGACGCACCUAAAGAAUGAACACGGUGAGAAGUCUUGUUCAGAAGACUUAAAACAUUGAACCCUCGCCGAAAGGUAAAAUCGGUAGUUAUCCAUAUUUAUCCUUUCUGCAUUCCCUUUUCCCUUUAAUUACUUACUUUCCUUAAAUAGCUUAUUAGUUAACCAUGCUAUCUUGAAAAGAAAAUAAAAAAAGUUAAAAAACAGUAAGCCCCAUGUGAGUAUGCUUGUGGUAUAAAACCCAUAAGUACAUUUACUGUGGUGGCGUAAAAAUAAAAAUAUUCCUAUCCUAUAAAAAUGAAAAUAUAAAAAUAAAUUUAUGAUCCUACCAAAGAGAGUAUACAUUUACUGUGGUGGUGUAAAAAUAAAAAUAUUCCUAUCCUAUAAAAAUAAAAAUAUAAAAAUAAAUUUAUGAUCCUACCAAAGAGAGUAAUAUUUAUUAGAGGAAGCUCAACAUGAUAAAGGCAAAGUGAUUUUAUGCUAACACUUAACCAGUUCCACAAAGCUUUGUUGUCUAUUUGAGCUCCAUAGAAUUCAAGGAUCAAAGAAGACUAGUAGAUGGAGGACAUCCUAAUCGCUGUCAGGGUGCUUCCGACAUUCAAAUACACCUCCAUCACCUGCUAGCUACAUCAGAAGAAAUUACGUCAAAAUCCAGCUUGGUGGAGAGCACCCCCAUUUAUCUAGCUAAGUGUUUCUACUCGCGUUUAUACUUUACUCAAAUAAUAAAAAGAUGCAUAAUCAUAAAAACCCAAAUAAAGAUUUUGUGCUUAUAUAUAUCUUUGCUUAGUUUGCAAAAUAAAUAAAUAAAUAAAGUUUGCUAUGAACCCUCAUGAUAAGCUCUCACAUGGAAAUAAUGAAUAGUUGCUCUGCCAUGACUAGUUCUCAAAAUUGAAAUCUCUCUCAAGUUUAGGUAUGACUGUUAUGAAUUAAGAUUUGCUCUAAACCUGAACUUGUGGGAAGAGUACUUGAUCUAAGUCUAAGUCGUUAAUGGAUAUGAUAUGGGAAGGUUGAGCUGUUGUUUAUCUAUUCCUAGAGAUGCUAGAAUUCUGGAGAAUUUUAUCUUUGAAAAUCUUUAAAAUAUUGCAUGAUGAGUUCUUGUAUGAUGAGAGAUUAAAAUCCCACCACAGCCACAUAUACAUGCUUAUUAGACUAUGAACCGUACAUUUACAUUUUACUACUUAUGAGCAUUGAGUGUGGUCAAGUUAUGUAGACCCUUAGGAACUUGUCAUGCGGUUAAAAUCAAGAUUCACUUGCACGUUCACUCAUACAUGCUGCUUCUACUCUGGAAGUACGCAUCCACAUACAUCCACUCCUUUCCAUCUCCAGAUUCACCUAAAAUUAUUCUACUCCUAUCUAGGAGAAAAUAGCCAAAAAGAUUAUCCUAUCCCUGUUUUUCCCUAUAAAAUAAAUGCUCGAGAUAUUUUGGUUACUACCACUUGCUACAUUAUUCCACGAGGGUGAGUGCUCUGAAAAAAAAAGAAAAAAAAGUGAAUACGAGGAAAUAAAAAGGGGUAAGUGCCCGGAACCUCGAAAGAAAAGAAAAAGUGAGACGAGAGGUAAAAAUGGACAAGUGUCCGACAGUAGAAUUAGGGGUACAAGAUACCCACCUGAGAUAAAAGAAAAAGAAAAUAUAGAGCAUCUCAUUCCUCUCAAAAACCAUCAAAGUACAAGAAAGGUAUGUAUCCCCUCAAAAGAGCAAAAGUAGAAUUAGAAUUUCACCAUUAUUUUCACCAUCAUCACCAUACACCAUUCAUCCACCACACAAGCACAUCUUGAUUUGACUUAUUGACUUGUUUCUCUGGAUCCAUGGUUUGACUAUGCCUGUCUCCCACCUAUGAGCUCCAGAUAUCAAAACCUUGUUAGAGUAGGGUGAGAGAGAAGGCAUAUAUCAUCACUGCCUUGGUAAGGAUCCAGAAAUACCACAAAAGAGAGACUAGAGAGACUCAUACAAGGAAUCUCUGAGUUUUAUUUGAAAAUCUGCAAAAACUCCAGAGCUAUAGUUGAUCAAAGAACAAGAGACAUGGUGCUUGACUUGACCGUUCUAUCUUUUAACUGCUCAAGACACAAGUGACGGUUGCAAGCCCCAUGGUGGAAGGUAAUAUGAGUAAGUUUAAAUCUUAACAGUUUACCUUAACCUAGAGAUGAGAUCUUGUUUGAACGCAUGAGUACCUUUAAGGCAUAAAACCACUGCAAAAACUCUUGAGUCCAUCCUUGCUUAGGGACGAGCAAGAGGUAAGCUUGGGGGAGUUUGUUGACGGUCCUUAUGUAUCAAAUUUAAUCAUUAAAUAAAUAAAGAAAAGGAUCCAAAUGCAACCAACACCUAGACUUAGGGUUUUAUCUGACAGAAUUCCAAAAGAUUUGGCGUUUGUCUAUUUCUGCAGGGGGUUAUCAGGAAAUAUGGAGGAAAGGCCCACACGUCGGGUUUACAUAGAGAUAUUAACGUGCCGCACAAUUUUCUAUCAUCUAGAAGACUCCAGAAGCCACAGGAACAAACGGGAAGCCGAGCGGGCUCGGGGGCAGGGCGCCCGCCCUCUCCCCUUGGGCGCCCGCCCAGCUACAGAGUCCAAUCAGGACUCGUUCCACGGAUUACCCUCCACCGACCUAAAGGAUCAAGGAUAACCGUUCAAUCAAUGUCGGUUUGAUUCGACGGCCCAGAUUCACUUGAGGGGACUAUAUAAGCAGACCCCCUCGCCCUUGGAGGAGGCAACCCUUGAUCCCUAUUCAUUAUUCAUAGACAGAGCAAAAGCUAGGGUUUGGAGAUGAGAGCUCUCCUCUCAUCUCGAAACUAGAGUAGAUCUAGAUAGUAGCGAGAUGGAGAGCGAGGGAGGAUUGGAGGAGAGGCCGGCCUGUCGGUUCUUCCUCCGGUUGUACUUUGCCAUGAUCAAGCUCUAAUCAAGCUUGCUCAUGGGAUGACUCUAGUAAUCUACUUCUAUUUCAUUAUGCAAUUACUAUCCAUGUAUGUUCUGGUUCACAACUCUUUUGAGUACUUUAAUCUAUAGGACGCUAUAGGUGAGAGUUGUAGUAUAGGUGUAAGUGUGGUGCUUAGACCUAGAUUACCUAUGGAUAUCCCCUGUCUAGCUGGAUCGUGUGGUAGGCCGCGUAGGUGACAGUUGCGUUGGUCCCCUGUAGUCCACCUCUUGUUAGCAGGACGGGUAGGUUAUCGGCCUAUGGAUAAGCAUCCUUUGUGGUGUAUUCUUAUCACGUGGUUCAUCCCAGAUAUAGACAUACCCCUUUGAAGUAGAGAAACCAUAGUUAUCCUCUCUAUUCUGCUACCAUCGCCCAUAUACUAGAUUGCUCUACUCUCUCUUCCCAUAUUAUCACCCAUUGCUAUCUUACAUUUAAUAUUGUUCUUAUUCAAUUAUAUCAUCUUUCCUAUUUACACCUACCUAUCUAUCUAGGUUAAGUUAGAGCGUAGAUCAUUUCUCCCGUUUCCCUGUGGAUACGAUAAAACUUUUAACCGGGUAAAAGCUACAACGGUAUCCGUGCGUUUACGGAUUUAUCUGUGUGCGUAUAAAUACCAUAGUACACUCUAGUGCCAUGCUGGGGAUGACAACCUAGUUUUCAAGUGGUGUUAGCAAGUGUCAACAAACUCGAGGCUCCCGAACCAAAUCACCGUGGAGCGCGAAAUCGGUGAAACAAGAGUGGCCAUCUGGAAAGAGAUGGGAAGUUGGUGAAAAAACACGCAGGACCCCUACCUGGCGCGCCAACUGUCGGCGUUUUCCCCUCGGGGGGUCACAGCAACGAGUAAAACUUGUGUGUGUGUUCCCCUUUCUAGAUGGUGAUGCAAGAAAGACACAAAGAUUUAUCCUGGUUCGGGCAAUAGAAGGCCCUACGUCCAGCGGGGGGGAUGUUUCUAUUAUCUUGCACCUAAGUGCUUGUACAGGGGUGAAUACAAGUCGAUAUUGUGGAUGGAUGGGGAUGAAGUGUGAUUGCUCUUCUACGUAUCUCUUGUCCCUCCUAUCCUUCCCUGGGCUUCCCCUUUUAUAGUUCCAAGGGGAGACCUAGGUUACAUGCGUAGGUGAUAGAGUAGGGGUCGAUAGGGGUAUGGCACGCUGACCUACUCGAGGCUUCCGUACCGGCGUGGCCUCGAGCCGUCUUGUUAUACAGUACUUGGGUGAUGAUUACGCGUGCCCCUGAAUUUGGCUUCUACGCGCUGUCCUGAACUGGCUUAUCCGUGGCACGCUUCUAUGUUGUAGCUGCAGUCGCGUCAGAGUGGUUGAGGUGCCGUCUUUCAUCGCCCGGCUCUUCUCUGGGAAGGAACAUGCCCGCUCGAGGGUCGGGUGCCGCACAGAGUCCUGCUGAACGGAGCGCUGACUUUGGGUGUCUCGAGGGGGUCCUGACGAGACGUUCCGACCGUCUCCCUGCGCCCUGCCGUACACUGGCUCAUCUGGUGGGUAAGGCUGCAAAAAGGAGCGAUUGGACGGGUGCUUGUUCCCUAUCAUGCUUCCCGUGACUGUCGGGUUUGGUGAGAACGUGGCAGGCGCAUUAAAUGCCCUGGUUCCUAUGCCCGCGUCAGGCGGCGGGUGGCGUCCUUGCGCUCGAGGCUAACUGGUUCGUACGAACAUGUUCCGUAUUCGAUGGUUGCCGUCGAGUCCUAGUCAAUUCGCACGACCCCCUUUCCGUGUUCGAGGCUAUGGUCGUCAUCAUAUUUUGGCCGUCGCGCGUGAGGACGGGGGGCGUCGAGUCAGGGGUGUUGAUACCCUCGACACUUGGUCAUGCUGUUUUUUAUCGCAGAUUCAUAAAAGAUUUUUCAUUUAUUGCUAGACCACUUACUCUCUUGCUAGCCAAGGAUGCUCCUUUCGAAUUUGAUGAUGCAUGUCUAACAUCUUUCAAUUUAUUAAAGAAUGCACUCAUCUCUACACCAAUCAUUCAACCCCCUGAUUGGUCGUUGCCUUUUGAAAUUAUGUGUGAUGCUAGUGAUUAUGCUGUGGGGGCAGUUUUGGGACAAACUAAAAAUAAGAAGCAUCAUGCAAUUGCUUAUGCCAGUAAAACUUUGACAGGAGCUCAACUUAACUAUGCAACCACUGAAAAUGAGCUUCUGGCUGUUGUCUUUGCCAUUGAUAAAUUUAGAUCUUAUUUAGUUGGAGCUAAAAUAAUUGUUUACACUGAUCAUGCUGCACUAAAAUACCUGCUCACUAAAAAAGAUGCUAAACCUCACCUGAUUAGAUGGAUCUUAUUACUUCAAGAAUUUGACUUAGAAAUAAAAGAUAAAAAGGGAGUAGAAAAUUCUGUUGCUGAUCACUUGUAUAGAAUGUAUUUUAAGAGUCCGCUUGAAACCCCCAUCAAUGAUUCACUCCGGGACGACAUGCUCUAUGAGAUUAAUAGGUUUGACCCCUAGUAUGCAGAUAUUGUUAAUUUUAUGGUUUCAGGGUAUGUACCACCAGGAGCAAACAAGAAGAAGCUUAUUCAAGAAAGUCGUUCACAUAUAUGGGAUGAGCCAUACCUCUUCCGAGUAUGCUCUGAUGGCUUACUCAGGAGGUGUGUGACCACUGAGGAAGGAUGGAAGAUCAUCGACAGAUGUCAUUCAUCACCAUAUGGAGGAUUAUGGAGCAUUCCGUACACAUUCAAAGAUCUGGCAGUGUGGAUUCUACUGGCCUACAAUGUAUGAAGACACGAAGCAAUAUAUCAGAAGAUGUGGGCCAUGUCAAAGGCACGGAAACAUAAACACAAGAGAUGCCAUGCCACUCACCGACAACCUUCAGAUUGAGCUCUUUGAUGUCUAGGGAAUAGACUACAUGGGUCCAUUUCCUCCAUCAAAGAAGUGUGAGUACAUCUUGGUGGCAGUUAACUACGUCUCCAAGUGGGUAGAGGCAUUACCUUGCAAGCAUGCCGACAACAUUAGUUCAAAGAGGAUGUUUGAAGAAAUUAUAUUUCCAAGAUUUGGAGUUCCCAGAGUAGUGAUAAGUGAUGGAGGAGCACACUUCAUCGACAAACGCUUCAAGCAAUAUCUAUCAAAACAUGGAAUCCGUCACAAUGUCGCUACCCCCUACCAUCCUCAGACAAGUGGCCAAGCAGAGACUUCCAAUAAGCAAAUCAAGAAUAUUCUUCAGAAGACAGUGAAUGAAAUGGGAACGGCAUGGAAAGACAAGUUACCCGAUGCACUCUGGGCAUACCGGACAGCAUACAAUACCCCAAUUGGAAUGUCUCCAUACCAAUUGGUGUACGGGAAGACUUGCCACCUACCUGUUGAUCUAGAGUUCAAAGCACACUGGGCCAUAAGAAGAUGGAAUAUGGACCUAGAUGUCGCUGGAGAUCAUAGAAGAAUGCAACUAUCAGAAUUGGAAGAAUGGCGAGAGAAAGCAUAUCAAAAUUCGAAGAUCUACAAAGAAAGAGUUAAAAGGUGGCAUGACAAGAGGAUCAAGAAGAAGGAGUUCACACCCGGAGCUAAGGUAUUACUUUUUAAUUCUAGGGUGAAGCUUUUCGGGCAUGGAAAACUCCGAAGUAAAUGGGAAGGACCAUUCAAGGUAAUCAAUUCAUCAUCCCACGGAGCUAUCACACUUCAAAAUGACGAAGGUACGUUAUUCAAGGUAAAUGGUCAACGUCUUAAAUUAUUUUUAGAGCCCAAUAAAGAAUUAGAAGAAAUAGAUGUAAUCCAUUUUUACCUUCCCAUGGAGAAUUAGACCCCGACCUUUUUAAUCUGACAUUUUUGGGUCACACAUAUAUUUUCCUAAUUAAGUCUGCAUCUAGAAACACGCUCGAGGAAGCGGGCCCACAGAGGGGCUAGACACAGGGCGGGCGCCCUGAUGAAGAGGGCGGGUGCCCAGCCCCUGACUCCUCUCGGUCCCAAUUUCCUCCGUUAUGGAAAACACACUUAUGGUAAUCCGAAUAAUCCUUCAGAUGGAAAGUUUCGCACGCACAUCGAUGGGAGUAACCCGAACAACCCCUAGAGGCACAUUUUGACCCCUAUAUAAACAGACCCCUCACGUCAGUUUUCAAACACCUAUCUAUCCAAGCCUUCUCUUCUUCUUCAAUUAGAGCUUGCUUAGUUCCCCGCUGCUUCAAUGGCCGAAGAGUUCCAUGAUGAUUGGGAAGUCGUACCCUACGACCUCAACAAGAAGCCUAAGGAAGACCCCGACGCCCAUGCUCUCGUCACGGCCAACCUAGAUCGACAGCUAGAAGCCAUGCCAUUACGUCAGCGCAGCUCCGCCCAAUCCUACCAUGCUCAACCACUUCUCACCGCACCGCCACCACCCCUACUUCUCAAGGGACCGUCAGCCAAGAAGGAGACCACCAUGAAGGUGCCAGCCGGCACAAGGAUCCUUCCACCCAGACCCAAUGAGAGGGUCGUUGGAGUCAAGACCAACCGGAGCGGCAAGAUCAGCAGCAUCUGCUACACUAUGGAGGAAGAGAGGCCUUACUUUGAAGGGAUUAUAGCAGCCAAAGUCCGUUUCAUCCCUCCAAAGGCAGCCCCGAAGCACGCUCUCAAUGCUCUUGAGACACCUUCUAAGCGUCGCAAGACUAUAGUAGAUAUUGAUGAGGACGUUCGUAGGCUAGACAGGAUCAUCAUAGAGCUCCAGUCCUCGGUUAAUUCUAUCACUAGGCAGCUCUCUAACCAGAACACCAUUAUACUAGGCCUUAGGCAUGAUCUUGCUAGUGCCAAUAAGAAGAUUAGGGAGUUAGAGCGCCGCUAAGUUAUCUAGAUUAGACCUUGAGGCAAUGCAUCUUAGUUAUUUAUCUUUAAAUUCGGUUUAAAUUUUACUAUUAUCGUCAGUUUGCUACUAGUCAUUUGUAAUAAAUGCCUCAAGAUUAAUAAAGAGUAUUAUUAUUAUUAUGUAUUGUGUGUCUCUACUUUAUUUUCGUGUAAGAAAGCAGAAAACAAGUAUGGGGACGAUCCCUCGACACGCCAAACACACUCCGACUAUACCACUCCACGAUUCAGGUACAUACUCUGCACACUUUACUUUACACAUACACAUAUAUAUCUUGGAUUAUGAAGAAUACUGUCUCCGACAGGAUAAAUUAAAAAGAUCAAAUUGUUUCUAAUCAUGAUUAAUCUCACUCUGUGAUAUUUCCUAAAAACUUGCAACUAUUGAAAAUCAUUUUAAAACCCUGUGCUGCUUAAGUCAUUGUGAAAUGUGAGAUGGUAGAGUAUGAGUUUCUUAUUCUUGAUAUCAUUGUUGCUUGGAGAAUUUAUUCAAAAAUUCUAGCUACCAUCCUCAAUGUUUUAUAUGCCUGAUAAACCUGAAAAUAUUAAUUAUGAUUAUAAAAGCUAUCUACUCUGUAUUGAGUUUGUUCAAAAUGAGUUAGACCCUUGUUGAGAGAUUUAUCAUGCUCCUAAGAUCAAGACAUCUAUUCAGAAAGAUUCACUCUUCUGAAGUAUUAUUGCAUUAGAGGCAUGGGCUGUGCAAAAAUAAAGAUAUUUCGAGGAAAUAAAAAGGAGCAAGUGCUCGACAACCUCGUAGAAAAAUGGACAAGUGUCCGGCAGUAGAAUUAGGGGUACUCGGUAUCCACUUAAAAAAAGAAGAGAGUGAAAAAAAUGAUAGCCCCAUGGUCCAUCUAAUAAGCAAUAUGCCAGUAAGAGUUGACAAGUUUUUAAUUGUCAAAAUCUUUGAUCUAAGAGUAUGACAUUCCUCUCCUCGGAUCUCGUUUUGAUCAGGCAAUAAAUGCAAGGUAAGUAUGCUUGGGAAUUUUUGCAAAUUAAAACAGCCUCAGUAAGAUAUACAAAAGAUAAUGAGUGACCUGAGAGAACCUAUGAGGAUAAAGGUAUGCUAAAUUUCUUUUCAAAAAUAUACAAAAACUCCAAGUAACAGGAUUGAGAAGAAAGGACCUCUACUUUUAACCAUAUAUUUUCCUGACUAUGGUACACACUGAAUUUUUACAACACCCUGCAGGUAUGAAGAAAAUGUUUUACAAUGUUUUAACCCCAGAUGUUUUUCUUAACCAUCCUUUUCUCGAGGACGAGUAAAAGCCUAAGUAUGGGGGUAUUUGUUGAUGGUUCUUAAGUAUCAAUUUUAAUUAUCAAAUAAACAAGAGAAAGGACCAAUAUGCAAACAACACCUAGAAUUAGGGUUUGAUCUGACAGAAUUCCACGAGUUUUGUUGUUUAUCUGUUUCUGCAGGGGGUUAUCAGAAAAUAAGGAAGAAAGGCCCACAUGUCGGGAUUACAUAGAGAUAUCAACACACCACGCAAUUUUCUACCAUCUAAAAGCCUCCAGAAGCCACGAGAACAAAGCAGAGGCCGAACGGGGCCUGGCCCAGGGCGCCCGCCCCCCUUUGGAGUCCAAUCGGGACUCUCUUCGCGGAUCAAGCUCCACCGACCUAAAGGAUCAAGGAUAACCGUUCAAUCAAUGUCAGUUUGAUCCGACGGCUCACGUUCACCUGAGGGGACUAUAAAACCAGACCCCCUGGCCCCUGGAGGAGACAAGUUCAUCAUAGAGUUGGGAGGAGCCCUCGAAGGAUAACCUCUCCUCUCUUCGCGUAGAGUUUAGAGUAAUCAUCUCUAGCGUAGACGUGGUGUUUGGGCUAGGAUACUCAUAGAUAUCCCCUGACUAGCUGGACCGUGGUAGUAGCGAGGAACGUGACAUUUCUAAGUUACCUUUGCAAUCCAUAUCUCGUUAGCAGGAAGGAUAGGGUUUAUAGGUGCGGGUUGAACAUCCUCUGUGGUGUCUAGAUUCCGUAAGCUUCCCCAUUAGAGCAGUAGAUUAUCCUUACCAAGGUUAGAAAGAGAUUACGGUUGUAGUCUUCUCUAUAUAUCACUCACAUUGAGAAACAUUCUUUGUAGCCUAAAGGUUAGUAGUAAUAGACUGGGUUAGUCAGAUGCACUCUUUCUCCUAGUGGUAAAAAUAUAAAUACGAUACUCUCGAUAACCUCCCAGGUGAAGUGCUCACCGAUAUCCGUGCGCUUGCGGAUCAAUUCCUUAUUACAUUCCCAAAUAUCAAUAGCGCCGUUAUCAGAAUUAGAAAACUAAGUCUACUUUUGGUAAUGACGUUAAGAAUGCCCAACAAUGUAUAUGAUGUAUAAUGAGAUAAUAAGAACAUCUCAUGUUGGGUCAGUCCUGCCCCAUGUCAUACAUGUGCCCACAUUAUUAGUUUGACAUCUCUAUGUCUAUGACUUGUGAAACAUAGUCAUCAACUAAUUCAUGUGCUAAUCUAAUAUUCAUGUGUGUCCUCACACGAACUCUGAUCAGGGACAACAUUAGAAUAACCAUACAAGUAAAAGAGUUUCACAAACAAUUCACAUAAUUGUCAAUCAAUACAAGUUUGUCUACAAUGGAUUUUCAUCGAACUCAUAAUGUAUGUCAUGGAUACAAUCAUAAUAUCAUCAUCUAUAUGAUUACCUCUAGGGCAUAUUCCCAACACUUUUAGCAUAAAUGAUUAUAACUGAGCAAGCAAUCGACGGAUCCAAGACCAUAAACUAGUGCAGAUGAACAACCAAUUGUCAGAUCCAACAUCAUAAUCAAACCAUAGAAUGAAAGCAAGCGGGGACGGGGAGGAUUUCACCUCGAGUGAGCCGAAGGGGAGGAGAGCCUACUCAAAUCGACAAGAAAUCGAUAGCAGACAUGCGCAGAUCUGGAGGACGAGGUACAAGAAACCCUCACUCCAAGACUAGCAUCACCACAACAGCUUGGAGAGGAAGGCGAAGGAGGGAGUGUAGGAUCUCCUAGAAGGUAAAGGAGGCCUAGAGGGGGGGUGAAUAGGCCUCUAAAAUUUAUCUCGAAGCUCUGUUAGAACAUAUGGCGGCACUGCCGGCCUACAACAAAUAUUCAGAUAAUGACAAUAUUUCACAGAAAGUAUUCUGAAUCUAUGAACUAUCUAAUCCUGCAAUCUCAACACAAGAUCCAGCUUGAAGACUGAAUACCACAGAAAACUCUCACAAGGCUAGAUCGAGUAACCAAACCCUAAUAUGUGUCAAACACAAGAAACAAACUAAUGUAACACAAGAGACUCAGAGAUUUAUCCCGUGGUUCAGCUCACCACAAAGGCUUGCCUAUGUCCACGUUGUUCAGGAAGCCACCAAAGGCUUAGGCUUGCCACAAAGGCUUGCCCUACCCUCGUUCUCAAAUCAAGAGAGUGAACUCUUGAGGUGAGGGGUAAUUUCUUAGCUGCAAGAAUGAGGUUACAAACCUCCCAAGGUUGCCACCCAAGGGGACAAGCUCAAGGGUGACGGCUAGCCGGCUAGGAGCAAGCUCCAAAAGUAACAAACCCUAGAACCGCUGGUCAAACAUGAACCAAAUGCUCUUAGACUUUAGGAAUCAAUGGAUGUACUCUCCAAUCGAGUUUUGCUGCCUUUUCUCUCAAGGAUUGAUGGUUGGAAUCAAGGAUUUGCUUGAGGGGUGAAGGAGCAACAAUGGAGGGAGAGAAAGAGCAUUGGUCUAUCUAUCUGCGAGAUGUGUCAAGUGAGGUUGAAGAUGACCGUUGUGGGAUAGGUCUAGAGGUAAAAGUACCCCCUAGGUCCCAACGGUCUGUAAUGGGCGGCACUGCAGCCCUGGCCAGAUCAGGUAUUAUGUGGAACUAUUUUGCAGGCUGCUUUGGCUAAGAGAGAGGAUGUUAAUCUAGGAAGAUGAGCAUUUGGUUGCACAGUUGACCAACUGUUCUAGAAUUCCCCUUUAUAGUACGACUUUUCCUAAACUCAAUAAUCAAAAAUAAAAUAAACAUAUAGCUUCCUUGAGUUUGGAUCAGCUCACAUUCACACUUUUGGAUACCUGCAACCUGUUCAUCAUUCUCAAUAUUUGAUUCCCUGCUUAUCAUCUCGAUAAUCUCAUUAGUCCUAUAAUUUGAUGGUCAUUAACACCAAAACUCACAAUAGGACUUGAUUCCACUUACAGGGAGCACACCACCGCCAUAGAGCCUGGCAGCAGAGGGAGCGGCGGCACACCGACCGGAUCCAAAUAGGGGAAAUGGAGAAGAAGCCCAAAGACGACCGCAUCACUCACUGACCUCACCGCUACCACUACUCAACGUAGCUGGAGCGAGAACAUGAGAGCAUGAUGAGAAGACCACGACGAGAGAGAGGAGGAGGGGGUUAUAAAGGCGAUAGAUUUCGACAGCAAUGGACGCGUGGAAGUUUCCAUCUUCCCACGCUCGCCUGCCUAAGGUCAACCGCCGCCACGAAUUUUGCCCGCGCAAGCUCAGGUGGAGCCUCGACCUAAGAAAACAAAUGGGACAAGUAUUUCCUAGGAGACAAGAGAGAGAAGGAAUAAUGCAUUCCAUGAGCCUGACCAAAAACUAGGCAAAAUGUAUCAAACUGGAGAAGUUGUAGCUGAAGGGCCUGGCUAGAGAUUUUUAGCCCGUAUCAAACGCACCCCCUAUUGUCGUGGACACAAUUGCGAGAAGCCAUCACAACCCACUGUCGUUGCCGCACAAAGUAGCACUGCCAACACAACACUACAUCUUGUUCUGGAUAAGAUUGUAAUAUCUUUGAGAAUUUUGUUUGAAAAAAGUGAAAAUCAUGGCAAGUUGCUUUACCUAUGUAUUUUGUGUUGAGUCUCACUCUAGUGAGAAUUUUCAUGCUCUCAAAAUCAAGUUCGCAUAUACUCCACCUCAAAGUAAGCAAUUGCCGUCCCAUUCUCCACCAGAUAAAGACUAAAGAUAAAGAUCCCUCUUCACAAAGUUUUGGAAACCUGUAUGGGCUAUGAAAAUAUGAGAAAAAGAGAACAUGAGAAAUAUGAGAAAAGAAAAAUGAAUGGGAAAAGAGAAAAGUCCAUGCUUUCAAAAUAAAUGGAGAGGGAUCCUCUAAAUAAAAGAGUCAACAGUCCUUCCAUCUUCGACACACCUGCACACCUAGAUUGAAAGAUUAUAUUUAUCACAUCAUCAUCAUCACACUAUAAAAAAGAGAAUAAUUUUAAAUCAAUUUUUGAAGCCUUAAACGAAUUCAAAUAUAAAAGUUUUUAACUACAAAUUCUCCACCAAAUAAAGACUAAAGAUAAAGAUCCCUCUUCACAAAGUUUUGGAAACCUGUAUGGGCUAUGAAAAUAUGAGAAAAAGAGAACAUGAGAAAUAUGAGAAAAGAAAAAAUGAAUGGGAAAAGGGAAAAGUCCAUGCUUUCAAAAUAAAUGGAGAGGGAUCCUCUAAAUAAAAGAGUCAACAGUCCUUCCAUCUUCGACACACCAGCACACCUAGAUUGAAAGAUUAUAUUUAUCACAUCAUCAUCAUCACACUAUAAAAAAGAGAAUAAUUUUAAAUCAAAUUUUGAAGCCUUAAACGAAUUCAAAUAAAAAAGUUUUUAACUACAAAGUUGUAUAACUUCUCAAGAUCUACAACAUUUAUUUUGAUCAUUUCUUCAUUUGACAAAGCCAAAAUAAAUUUGUUUAUAAAUUUUAUAUCUCUCUCUUAUAGUUUAUGAAACUAUCUAGAAGUAAGCAAUUGCCGUCCCAUUGUCCACCAAAUAAAGACUAAAGAUAAAGAUCCCUCUUCACAAAGUUUUGGAAACCUGUAUGGGCUAUGAAAAUAUGAGAAAAAGAGAACAUGAGAAAUAUGAGAAAAGAAAAAAUAAAUGGGAAAAGGGAAAAGUCCAUGCUUUCAAAAUAAAUGGAGAGGGAUCCUCUAAAUAAAAGAGCCAACAGUCCUUCCAUCUUCGACACACCUGCACACCUAGAUUGAAAGAUUAUAUUUAUCACAUCAUCAUCAUCACACUAUAAAAAAGAGAAUAAUUUUAAAUCGAAUUUUGAAGCCUUAAACGAAUUCAAAUAAAAAAGUUUUUAACUACAAAGUUGUAUAACUUCUCAAGAUCUACAACAUUUAUUUUGAUCAUUUCUUCAUUUGACAAAGCCAAAAUAAAUUUUUUUAUAAAUUUUAUAUCUCUCUCUUAUAGUUUAUGAAACUACAGAGAGAUAUAUAAGAUUUUAGAAAAAUAUUAGAAUCACCAUGUCGGAUAAACAAAUGAAAAAAUAACUAAAAUAAACUCUAUAGAUCUUGAGAAGUUAUGAAACUUUGCCAAGUGUAUUUGGGCCUUUACCGAGUGCCACAGACACUCGGCAAAGCAUCAGUAUCCCGUAGUGGUAUAACCCUUACCACAGCCGCAGUAGAAAAAGGGGGAAAAGCUUAGGCCUCUCCGUAUCCUCACUGUAUCUGUGCCCUUGUCGCCUUCGUCUAGAUCACAAAUGCCGCCGCACGGUCUCGUCGAACUGCGUCCUACCGGCCACUAGGGCUGCCCGGCGACAUCCUCAGUCUUCUAGUGAAAAGGUCAUCCUCAAGCUAUCGCGCACACAAGCCAGCGGGUGCCAUGCAUGCCCAUAAAUCCGGAAUACAUCCUUUGUAGCUACUAGCUACUGCUUUGUAUUUUGAUAUUUGAUCGAUUUCAUUCUCCAUCCAUUCCAUCUCAUGAAAGUUUGAUUCUUUUUAUUUCCGGGGAGCUUGGCGAGGCGCGCCGGUCAAGGAAAACGUCCCGACAAGGCCUCCUCCCCGUGGUGUUGCAGCUUCUGCAGGCAAAAGGUAGCAGAGUGACGACAUGUCCGGGUCUCCGAAGACGCCGCACUCCUCCCAGGAAUGGUCGUCGCUAUCGUCAUCAAAGGAAAACGGCAUGACGCGGUCAAGGAGUAGAGCUCGCACAGCGCGGUACCGCAGCUCGAACUGCAAGGGCUUGGUGGAGCACCUGAGCUGGUAGUGGUAUUUGACAUAGUUUUUAGAAACACGUGCGUGACACACGUGCAUAUUUGCUAGUCAAUAAAAAGAUUAAAAGAUUGUAUGGUAUAUUCCUCUAUGGUACAGUUAUGACUUAACAAGAUAUGCAACACAUACUUGAGGAUUUAUCUGCUCAAGCUCCACAUAGGCAAUAGCCAUAGGAUCUUGAGGUAACUAUUGUGAAACGACGUCUAUUCUCAAUAGACAUCCAUUAACUGUUGUGAAACGCCAUAGGAUCUUGAGGUAACUGUUGUGAAACGACGUCUAUUCCCAAUAGACAUCCAUUAACUGUUGUGAAACGUCCGUACGAGUAGUUAGGAUUAGUGUUAGAGAUUAGCAGUUAAUCAUGUCACCAAGAGCCUAUCUUUUGAUGAAUAGUUGUGUCUCUUAGAGACAUCUCUUCACAUGUAUAUAUUCUAUGAGAUCAAUGUGUUGAUGCAAAAACGGAUCUGCAAACACAAAGGGCUAAUACCCGAUUCAAACGUUAAGGCGUGCCAGCCGAUUUGACCUUACUAUCGGCAAAGAUGAUAACUCGAAUACUUUGGUCCCGACAACAGCGAUGCGCCCGGAUGUCACGGCCAAGAGGUAUUCACGCGGAACUUGAGAAUACGCCAAACUUAAGUCGACGAACUCCUAAGAACUCGUAGUAAAAGGAAAAUUUGACAAAGUCGUCGAAAAAGUAGAUGCUGGAAUAUGAGUAAAAACUUGUGUUUGAUUGAUUGAUAGAUUAUUCAUUACAAGGCCGUAGGGUCUACAUUUAUACCCUGCUCAAAGAGCUACAAUCAGACACGACUAGGAUUCGAAUUCCAAAUUAAACAGAGCCUGUAUACAAAAUGAAUCUAGAUAACUAAGUAAAAUACAAAAUUAUCUUCCCGUAACCGAUCAGGACACCACCACGGGUCAAUCGGCAACUCCUGCAGAGCCAUCGGCAACCUCCCUGCUAUCGCCAUCGGCAAACAUUGAUACUAGUCAUCGGUUAGGAAUGUGCUAUCACUUCCGGACUUAGCCAUAUCCAACCGCCCCUUCAUCGGCAACUUUCUUCAUCGGCAACGCUUCCAGAGUCUAGUUACCGUUGCUCCGCCUGCCGAUCUUGUACUCUACCGGUUUCUGUGCGCGUGUCCAAAAAACGGUGUCAACACAUGCCCCCCAGUUUCGGAGUAUGAAAUCCUUAAUGCUCCAAAAUUGUCUGCAUUAAUGAUGCCUUUCUAUAGUUAAUCUUCCCCCAGUAUCUCCAAUCCAAGUGGAGUCUUCUCCUUCUUCUCCAGAAGCUCAGACAUAGCAGAUACCUUCUCCUCAGCCACAAGAAGAACCUCACGCAGAAGAACCCCAGCCAGAGGAACCUCAGCCGGAAGGCACAUCGGCUGACGUACAUGAGCAAACUGCCGAUCCAGGAAGUUCAAUUAUAGCAUCGGUAGUUUCCUCCAUCCAAAUAAGUACUGUUCCUCCUCAAGGUAACAUAUUCUCUAGGAAAUCAUUGCCGAUGAACUUAUUUUCCCCGUCUUGUAAUUAUUUCUAUUAAUCUUCCAGCUGACAUAGUCUCAUCGGCAAUUCCAGCCGAUCAGCCCGUGGUUCCAUCGGCAUCAUCUAGUCAGAGGCGAGAGAUGGCCCUGAAGCAAGUAAGUUACCCAAUCUCUAUCUGCAUCAUUUAUCAAUGCUUGAUCAUAGAGUAACUUAUUUUAUCUUCCUUUUCCGGAAUAGGAUUCUCCUGACAGCCUAUUCUCCUUUGCCAUCGACAUCUCUGAGGAUGAAGGCUAGGAGGCAAGUUCUUCUCAAGCAGUCAGAAUUACAUCGGCAGAUAUCAGGGCAAAGUUAGAAGAAUUAUCAGCCCUCCUUCAUCAAGACAUAGCCCAACUGGUUGAUGACUCCGACCCGGCCAAGACCUUGUUCAAGACCCUCAGAGGCCAAAUUCCUGCCAAUGCCGAAGAAAUCCUUUUUCAAGAUGCACAUCUAGAGAGCUGUCAGCUGCAAUACCAAAAGGCUACCCAGCGUCUUACCGAUAGAGUUGCUCAGGCUCAGCUUUCUGAGGAGAUGAUGAAAGUGAAGCUCCAUGCCGAUGAGAAACACAAGAACAUCGGCAUCUUGAAGUCCUCAGGAGAUGCGCUGAAGCAUAAGAUCUCUGAUUUGUCAGCAAAAAGAGAAGCCCUAUUGGCAGAACUCAAGCAAGUAGAAGAAGCUUUGUCCCAAGCUCAACAAGAGGAAAGCCAGCUGCCUGAGACGAUCAAACUUCUUGAACAAGAGCGAAAUGUUCAUGGCCGCAAAGCAUUGCAGAUGAAGAAGAAGCUGAAGCCAGUGGAGGGUUCUACCGAUGAUGAUGUGAAAGAGAUAGAAGAAGCCAACUAGAUCCGUCUGCGUGCCAUAUCGACGAUCUAGGCGCUGUUGAACAUAUGAACUCUUCAUCGGCGGUGUUCUUUGCUUCUUCAUUCUAACCAUUUUGGUCUAGCCGAUAGGAUCGUUAUCGGCACCCGUUUAAAACAUUAAGUCCGGUUCCAGACACAGUUUGAUCCAGCCGAUAGAAAUGUUAUCGGCAUUUAAACUUCUACGCAUCGACCCAGAUGCUUGGGUAAUAUUUUUUUAGAUAUUUACCAUUUAAUUCCUUGGGAAAUUUGACUCCUUUGAGAGUUUCUAAGAUAUAAGCGUUUCCAGGAGCCGACCGAUUUACUCGAUAGGGACCUUCCCAAUUAGGAGACCACUUCCCGAACUUUGAACUUUUAGCCCCGAUCGGUAAAAUUAGUUUCCAUACUAAAUCUCCAUCGGCAAACUCCUUAGGUUUUAUCCUCUUAUCAUACCAUCUGGAAACUCUCUUCUUAUUCUCUUCUAUACUUAUCAAAGCCUUCAACCGAUGCUCCGCUAGAUCAUCCAACUCGUCUGUCAUCAAAGUAGCAUAAUCAUCGGCAGUCAAUUGGUUUUGAAAAGAUAGUCGCCUAGAUCCAGUCUUAAUCUCCCAAGGUAACACUGCAUCGUGCCCAUACACCAAUUGAUAAGGUGAAACUUUGGUCGAUCCAUGGCAAGCCAUCCGAUAUGACCAUAAAGCUUCAUUCAACAACGUAUGCCACCUUCUAGGGUUUUCUUCAAUCUUUCGUUUAAUAAGCUUGAUAAUUCCUUUGUUAGAUGCCUCGGCCUGCCCAUUAGCUUGAGCAUAAUAAGGAGAAGAAUUCAACACUUUAAUUCCCAUACCGAUUGCAAACUCGUCAAACUCCCCCGAUGUGAACAUAGUACCCUGAUCGGUAGUAAUCGUCUGAAGAAUACCAAAUCGGUAAAUAAUAUGCUCCUUCACAAAAUCAAUCAUAUUGGCCGAUGUAACCUUCUUCAAAGGAAUUGCUUCAACCCACUUGGUGAAAUAAUCAGUAGCAACUAAGAUGAAUUUGUGUCCUUUACUAGAAGGCAGAUAAAUCUGACCGAUUAGAUCAAUAGCCCAUCCCCGGAACGGCCAAGGCUUAAUAAUGGGAUUCAUGGCCGAUGCGGGUGCUCUUUGAACAUUGCCAAACUUCUGACACCCUUGACAUCCCUUGAAAUAUUUAAAGCAAUCUUCAAGUAUGGUUGGCCAAAAAUACCCAUUCCUCCUAAUCAUCCACUUCAUCUUGAAUGCCGACUGAUGUGCUCCACAUACUCCUUCAUGGAUUUCUCCCAUCAAACUUUUAGCUUCAUCUUCACCCAAGCAUUUGAGAAGAAUUCCAUCAAUUGUUCGAUAAUACAAUUCAACUCCGAGGAGCACAUACUUGGUGGCUUGAAACCGAACACGUCUCUCGACUUUCUUGGAUGGAUCCUUCAAAUAAUUAACAAUUUCUUUUCUCCAAUCACCGGCACCAACUGCCGAUAUUGUAUUCAACAUGGGCUGGUAUCCCGAAGCAUGCUGAGCCAACCGAUUGGCCUCCUCAUUAUGCAACCGAGGAACAUGCUCUAAUCGGAAAUCCUUGAAUUCCUUUAAUAAUUGCAUACUCCUUUCGUAAUAAGUUAUCAGGACUUCACUUCGGCAUUCAUAACUCCCAGCUAAUUGAUUUAUAACCAGUAUGGAAUCCCCGAAGAUCUCGAUAGCAUCAGCAUGAACUUCUUUUAACAACUCCAACCCUUUGAUUAGAGCUUGAUACUCAGCUUGAUUAUUUGUUGAUGCGGCAGCAAUCGGUAAGGAGAAUUCAUACUUCCUUCCCCGAGGAGAAAUUAGCAAUAUGCCGAUUCCUACCCCCCGAUCACACGUGGAUCCAUCAAAGAAGAGUGUCCAAGGUACGAUUUCCAAAGUUUCCACUGUGCCACAAUGUUGAGUCACAAAAUUGGCCAUAACUUGUCCUUUAACCGCUUUAGCCGAUUUGUAACGCAGAUCGAAUUCCGACAGUGCAAAAAUCCACUUACCGAUUCUACCACUCAUGAUCGGCAUAGAUAGCAUGUAUCGGACCACAUCAUCUUUGCAAACAAUAGUGCAUUCGGCCGAUAGCAAAUAAUGUCUUAACUUAAUACAGGAGAAAUACAAACAUAAGCAUAGUUUCUCAAUAGCCGAAUACCUGGUCUCAGUAUCAAUCAACCUUCUGCUUAAGUAAUAAAUUACACGCUCCUUCCCUUCAAACUCUUGAAUCAAAGCUGAACCGAUGACCAUCCCAUCGGUAGACAAAUACAAUCUGAAGGGCUUUUCAUGCUGAGGUGGAAUCAGAACCAGAGGAUUCAUCAAAUAAUUCUUGAUUUCAUCUAGGGCCAACUGUUGCUCUUUUCCCCAUACGAAUUCUUGAUCGGCUUUUAAUUUGAGUAAAGGACUGAAAGCACGGAUUUUGCCAGACAAAUUAGAUAUAAACCUUCUGAUAAAAUUCACCUUGCCAAUCAAGGACUGGAGCUCAGUUUUGUUGGUAGGAGCAACUAUUUUGUUGAUAGCAUCAAUGGAUCUUCGGCUAAUCUCAAUCAUUCUUUGAUGUACCAUGAAACCAAGAAACUGUCCUUCCGAUACACCAAAUGCACACUUAUUAGGAUUCAUCUUCAAACCAUAUUUUCUUCUGCAUUCCAACACUUUUCGCAAAUCGGCAAGAUGUUUCGUGAAAUCCCCAGAUUUAACCACCACAUCAUCAAAAUAAAUCUCCACCAGCUUGCUGAUGAACUCGUGAAAUAUAAAAUUCAUGGCCCUUUGAUAAGUAGCACCAGCAUUUUUCAAGCCAAAGGUCAUGACUAUCCACUCAAACAGCCCAACAUGACCAAGAGAUCUAAAUGCAGUUUUUGGGAUAUCUUCUUCAGCCAUGAAUAUUUGGUUGUAUCCUGCAUUGCCAUCCAUAAAGCUAAUGACCCGAUGCCCAGCCGCAGCAUCAAGUAGCAGAUCAGCAACCGGCAUCGGGUAACCAUCCAUCGGCGUAGCUUUAUUAAGAUUCCUGAAAUUAAUGCAAACCCAAAGCUUCCCAUUUUUCUUGUAAACUGGAACAACAUUGGAAAUCCACUCGGCAUAACGACAUUGCCGAAUAAAUUUAGCUUCAAUAAGUUUAGUUAUUUCGGCCAUAAUAUCAGGAAGAAUAUUAGGAUUACAUCGGCGAGCUGGCUGUUGAUGCGGCCGAAAUCUAGACUUGAUGGGUAACCGAUAUUCAACAAUUGAACGGUCUAAACCAGGCAUCUCAUUAUAAUCCCAAGCAAAGCAAUCUUUAUAUUCCUUUAACAGAUCGGUUAACUGCUGCUUACACUCAGAACUCAACUUAGCACUAAUAAAAGUAGGUCUAGGUUUAUCACCACUACCUAUAUCUACUUCUCCCAAAUCAUCAGCUGAUGUGAAUCCUUGGCCUAAUUUUCCAUCAUCGGUGAACCUAUCCAUUAAAACUCCUCAUCAGAACUGACUGCUUGGAUCGGUGGAAUUUCAUAAUCGGUGACUCUGAGGAAAUCCUUCUCCCAAAUUUCUCCCGAGAUGCACCUCGUCCUUUCAUAAGUAUCUGCCUCUGCUGAUGCAAUAACAUAGGAAGAAUCUCCCGAGACAAUCUCAAUCUUGUCACCUACCCAUUGUACCAAGCAAUGGUGCAUUGUAGAUGGGAUGCAAUAAUUGGCAUGAAUCCAAUCUGUCCCUAGCAGCAAAUUAUAGGCACCUUUUCCGCUGAUCACGAAGAAAGUUGUCGGCAAGGUUUUGCUGCCGAUGGUCAAUUCGACGCAUAUUGCUCCUUUGACUGGAGACACGUUCCCUUCAAAGUCUUUGAGCAUCAUAUCGGUCUUGGUUAAAUCUUGAUCUCCUUUUCCAAGCUUCUGAUAGACUGUAUACGGCAUGAUGUUGAUAGCAGCUCCUCCAUCAAUCAAUAUCUUGGUCAUGGGCUGACCGUCAACUCUCCCUUUGACAAACAGAGCUUUAAGAUGUUGCCUUUCGUUGCCGGCAGGCUUUUCGAAGAUGGCUGUCAUCAGAUCCAGAUCCAAUUGAGCUAUCUGGUCGGAAAACCCCAACUCUUCAUCAUCACUAGAGGGCGCAAGGAAUUCCAUCGGCAACAUAAAUAUCAUGUUAACACCUACCGAUGCCCCUUUUCCCUUAGGGUCUGAUUGUUGCUGAUCCCAAGACUGGCUAGAAUUCUCACCCUUGCUUAGCUCUUCUCGUCUCUCGCGUUGCAGUCUCCUCUUCUGUGUCAUGGUCAAUCCCUCUGGACACCAUGGGGGAAGGGGUGACUGCCUUGCCGAUGGACAACGAUGUUCCCUCGACUCCAUCCGAUGAGUAUUAGCAUCCCUGCAAAAUAUGAACUCAUCGGGAACUCGUGCAUUAGCCAUCUCCUCAAGUUCUUCCUGAUCCCUGGGAAAAUAUCCAACACGAUCACCAAGCCUAUCAUGUACACUGAGUCUGCCCCCCAGCCGAUCAUGAACCGAUGCUCUCAACCUAAUCGGCCCAUUAAAUCCCCGAUCGUUAUCAUGAUGGCGCCGAUCAGAUCUAUCAUGCCGAUUAUAACCAUUACACUCAAGGCAAUCUUCAACAGUAGGUAAUUUAAUGUUCUGCUCCCAGCAAUGGACAAAGAACGGGCAGUUCCAGUGAUCCUUGUGUCGAUUCCACUCCCAUCGGCGUCUUUCUUCUUCCCGAUGAUAAUCUUCUUGCUGGCGCCGAUGCUGAUCUUCAUGUUGCUGCCAAGUCUCCCGAGGCCUUCUAUGAGUUAUCACAAUACCGGAUCGGGGAGGCCCUCCUGAAUUGGAUCCCUCCUGGAUCAAACCCUUUCCUUUAGCAUCGGCAUCGGUAAUCUGAUGUUGAGGAUCAACCGAUGCAUUUCUUUCAGCUGCUUCUGACGUCGGCACCUUAGUUUUCUCCUUAGCGUCCAACAUGUUUGUCGGAAAAGGGUGUUGAUCUAUCUUCAUCGGCGUCUGAGCUUUAGAACUAUCAAACUUGAUUCUCCCAGAUUCAAUAGCCGAUUGCAGCUGUUGCCUAAAAACUUUGCACUCAUUGGUGCUGUGAGAAGUUGCAUUGUGCCACUUGCAAUAUUUCAUCUUCUUUAAUUCUUCGGCCGAUGGAAUCACAUGAUUGGGUGACAGCUUGAUGUGACCUUCUUGAAGUAGAAAGUCGAAUAUCCUAUCGGCUUUGGUGAUGUCAAACGCAAACUUCUCUGGCUCCUUAUGCCCAAAAGGACAAGACAUUGGUUUCUUAUUUUUCACCCAUUCUGCCAAGCCGAUGACUGGUUCCUCAUCAGAAUCCGAGCUUGCUGCUUCAUCAACGAACGAUACCUUUUUAUUUCAUGCUCUCUUGGGUUCAAAAGGUCUAAUAUCUUGAUCAGAAAUUCUCUGUAACAAGUGACUUAAGCUUUCAAACUCUUGAGAAGCAUACUUGUCCCUGAUGUGCAGCAACAAACCCUGGAAAGCCAAAUUGGCUAGCUGCCGAUCGUCCAAAACCAGACUAUAACAUUUGUUCUUGACCUCCCGUAUCCUCUGCACAAAAUUCUCAACCGAUUCAUCAUUGCGUUGCUUCAAUUUGACCAAAUCGGUGAUCUUCUUCUCAUGGACUCCAGAAAAGAAGUAUUUGUAGAACUGUUUCUCCAGAUCAGCCCAAGUAAUCACUGAGUUGGGAGGUAAUGAUAUAAACCAAGUGAAAGCCGAUCCAGAUAAUGAUGACGAGAACAAGCGAACCCUUAACUCGUCCCUGUUAGCAGCUUCUCCACAUUGGAUGAUGAACCUGUUGACAUGCUCCGUGGUUGAAGUGUUGUCCUAUCUAGAAAACUUAGUGAAAUCUGGCACCUUGUACCGAUUUGGAAGUGGGAUUAAAUCAUAUGCAGGAGGAUACGGUGUCCGAUAAGAAUAAGUGUUGACUUUGGGUUUUAUCCCAAAUUGGUCUCUCAUUACUUCAGCAAUCUUAUCGGCCCAAUAAGCAUCGGCAUCCUGCCGAUGGGGUGGUUGCGGAUCCGACACCUGCUGAUAUACUUCCACGUGUCUAUGCAGUGCGUGAUCUGCAUGGAACAUUGGGUUAAUCAUUUGGCCACCAAUCUGCUGACCACCAAACUGCUGACCACCGAACUGCUGACCACCAAGGUUCAUUGGCUGGUUGGCUAAUCCUUGAUUCUGGAACCCAGGGUAAAUCUGGCCUUGUUGAAACCUUGUAGCCUGAUGAUUCUGUUGGGGUAUUUGUGGAAAGACUUGCUGCCCAGUCCAUCCACCAUUAGCAUUCAUCGGCAUAGACCCUGCCGAUGUCUGGUAAUUGGGCAUCGUUAUAGAAUUGACAUGCCCUGACUGAGCCAUAAACCUCUGUUGCGUCGGCAUUUAAUCUGCCGAUGUAUUAGGCAUCUGGAACAUUGGAGCUUGAGAAUUCCCAGUGUAAGGCCUUUGCAGUGGUAGUUGUAGUAUAUUGGGGACUCUGACUCAUCGGCAAAUUUGGGGCUGCCGAUGUCAUAGGAACCUUGCCCCUCAAAUCAGCCGUCUGAGACGUGCCAGGUGUCUUCAAUGUCAGCUCUGGGGGCAUACCAUAACCCCACCAGUUAGGAGGAGGAACCGAUCCAGACAUCGCCGAUGCCAAUAGAUCUGUAGCAAGCUUGAUCUGCCCAUCAGAAGUCGAUGGAUUGGUCGUCAUCGGCGUAGAUUGCGCGUUAGUGACUCCUAACGUGCUUGGAGGGACAGUAGUUUCUGUGCCCGCAGCGACUGUAGCAGCCGAUGGAGCUGUAACCACCGGUGAUCCCGGCUGAUGAUAGACAGGGCCCACAUAAUUUGGUGGCAAUUGUCCUUCUUUGAAAGUUCUAGCCACAGUGUUGAAAACCGUAUUGGACAGCACACCAGCUUGAUUGAUCAAGGCACGGUUAAUAGCACUAUCAACCAUGUCUUGGAGUUUACCAGGAUUGGUGUCGAAAGUAACCUGUCGAGGUGCCAGCAGUGCCUCCUUCUGGAUCACCUCGCCACUCCUGUUGAUACUAAAAGACUUCAAACAUUGCUGCUUGUAGUCCUCCAUGGAUUUUGCAAUGGCUUGCUUCUGCUCAUCCUUGAGAUUGGCUUCCGUCACGGGGAUGACAUUCUCCAAGUCAAACUCGGUAUUCGCCAUGCUAAUCUUGAUCUUGAUUUGGUCCCACUGGGCGUGCCAAAAGAUGUGUUGAUGCAAAAACGGAUCUGGAAACACAAAGGGCUAAUACCCGAUUCAAACGUUAAGGCGUGCCAGCCGAUUUGACCUUACUAUCGGCAAAGGUGAUAACUCGAAUACUUUGGUCCUGACAACAGUGAUGCGCCUGGAUGUCACGGCCAAGAGGUAUUCACGCGGAACUUGAGAAUACGCCGAACUUAAGUCGACGAACUCCUAAGAACUCAUAGUAAAAGGAAAAUAUGACGAAGUCGUCGAAAAAGUAGAUGCUGGAAUAUGAGUAAAAACUUGUGUUUGAUUGAUUGAUAGAUUAUUCAUUACAAGGCCCUAGGGUCUACAUUUAUACCCUGCUCAAAGAGCUACAAUCAGACACGACUAGGAUUCGAAUUCCAAAUUAAACAGAGCCCGUAUACAAAAUGAAUCUAGAUAACUAAGUAAAAUACAAAAUUAUCUUCCCAUAACUGAUCAGGACACCACCACGGGUCAAUCGCAACUCCUGCAGAGCCACCAGCAACCUCCCUGCUAUCGCCAUCAGCAAACAUUGAUACUAGUCAUCGGUGAGGAAUGCGCUAUCACUUCCGGACUUAGCCAUAUCCAACCGCCCCUUCAUCGGCAACUUUCUUCAUCGGCAACGCUUCCACAGUCUAGUUACCAUUGCUCCGCCUGCCGAUCUUGUACUCUACCGGUUUCUGUGCACGUGUCCAAAAAACGGUGUCAACACAAUGAAAGACAACAGUUAUUCCCAAAUCACUGUUCAUUUACAUUCACUUUCAACAUGUUACCAGACAUUUUGCUAAGAUCAACAUACCGACUCAUGUAUAUAUCAAACACUUUGCUAAGAUCAACUUAACAGAACAGAGAGGAGAACGACAACGACACAGGCUCGUGCCUCUGAACUCCCAUCCGUAAGCAUGGCAAAGAUCAACUUACCGACUCAUGUUGCUAGAGGCUUGUUCUUCGCUCUUUGCCACGUUGGUGGAGUUCGUCGUGGCCCGAUCCACUACCACAACCUCCAUGGACAGUGCCGUAGCGUCUUCGAGCGCCUUGGGCCUCAUGCUCGCUGCAAUGCUGGCAAUGGACGCCAUGGUCCUUUCGGCCGCCUUUUUGACUCUAUUGUUCGUGGCCUCCGUGCAGAUGCAGUUCCUCGCCACCGAUGGAGUCUAGUUCCCUAUGGUCGUCAUGCUUCUCCGCGCAAUCUUCGUCUGCAGAGCCAACCACCAUCUCCCUGCCUUGGCAUGAACGGGGCUGGCCCCAGCAAUGCAGCACCACGCGACGUGGAAGCCCUAGCGCCACCCACCGUUGAAGCCCCGAUGCCGCCCGUCGAUGAAGUGGUUGUUGAGCCCGUUGUUGUGCCUGCAUACAUCCCCAUGGAGCCGAUGUCGCCGGCACCGGCACCAAAUAGCCACUGGUGCGACUUCUGCAAGGAGUACAUGUCGAUCCCAGACAUGCUCGAGUACGCCUACUCGAUGCCGAUGCCCACACCAGCCUCUCCGACUCCAGUGGAGAAAGGCAACUGCAUCCCCCCACUCGGUCCGUGGUUCCUGAACACGCAGGCUGCUCCAACGCUCGAUGUAGUGAAGGUCGAAGACGAGGUCGACAUGGUGGCUGCGCCCGGCGUCGGCAACCUCUUCAAUCUCCGCGACAUCUUCAACACCGCUGCGAGAACCAGCCCCUUGGCUCCUCCUCCGCCUGCGACGCGCGUGGAGGCUGCUGCCCGCAUGAAGGUGCAAGCCCUCCCAGGUCCUCCUUUGGCAGAGACGCUGCCGACUCUAACGCUCUGGCGCUUCCUCGGCCACAAGACACAGUGGAAGUGGACCGGCGCCCUGGCCUCCGUCGCACCAGUGCCUGGAACCCGACAGAUCUUGGUCUCUGAGCAUGGAGGUGCUCAACAUGGGGACCUACGGCAGCGGCUUCUACUCCCUGAUGAGGGGGAGUCCUCCUCCGCGAACUGAAGCAUGGCAGUGCCGGCACACUGGAGUGUGGGAGCGAGAUGUGAAGCAGCAGCGGCGUCCUCACAGGCGGCGGCGGCAUGGAGUCACCCUGCUGCUUGUUUCCUGCCCUUUAUGGCCAACACCCACAACUUGGGCCAGCCCAAGGCCUGCGUCCCCUCCUCUCCUACUGUGUGCGCCUGAUAAGCCAUACUGGUCCAAAAUGAACGUGGAUUAGUUCCAUUUCUUAUGGCUCGCUGGCUUGUUACCUUUUAUGUUUUAUUUAUUUUCAGCAUAAAUUCGCAUGAGACUCUGUUUAGUCCCUAGUAAUUUUAUGUUGUAAAUUUAAAAAGCACAAUAUGUGUUGUAUGAUUAUUUUUAGUCGCUGACUUUAGCAACAAUAUGUACUCAUGAUGUUUUAUAUUAUUGUAAAAUAUCCGUUUGUGAUAUUAUUCAAAGCGUUUGUCCCGGUAUGAAUGACAAAUCCAAUAAAUAAUAUCCUUGUUAUCGUGACCAUGGUCUUGUAAUUAUUAAUUUAUUUUGCAAUCAAUCAUUUUUAUUUAAGCUCUUUUACGCUUUUAACUUUAAAGCACUAGGCGCUUAAAUAACGGAUGUGGCAUUUUAUGUGUAUUUCUCUCAUUAUUUGUAUAACAUGCAUGUUCUCAAUUUAUUUGUUGUCCAUACAUAAGGUAGCACCAUAGUUGCUACUGCUGGAUCUACACUAAGUAACACUUAGUGACUAUCCUCAACGUGCGUACCCAACAUCAUAAAUUAGAGCAUUUGGUCUACAUCUUUUCACAAAGAUGACUACCAUUAAUUCACAUUCCUAUUGACCAAUCACAAGGUAGCACCAUACUGUGGGAUCUACACUAAGUCCACAACUUAGUGACUAUCCUCAAUGUGUGUAUCCAAUUCGUUUGCGAAUUAACCAAGGUCUACAUCAGUCUUGAUGACUACCUUAAGACGUGUUCAUAUAACUUGCAUAAUUACUUGGCAUCUACCAUUAACACAGACUAUGCCAAAUUUGAGGUCUACACCUUCGCGCUGACUACCUCCUUAUUUUAUUGUGCACAUGAGAUCUUUACACCACUAAUAAUAUGAGAUUUACAUUGUCUCUAUAUGCAUCCCAUAAUUACAACACACCAUAAUAUUUUAAUAACUUAAAAUGUUUCAAUGGUUUGCCUCGCGUAGAAUCAAUGACUGUCAAAGAGUUUGAUUUACUUGCUCUAGAUGGACACAAUUAUCCCACAUGGGUUGUGGACGAAAAGUUAGUCUUGCGUUCCGUGGACUUUAUCGAGCCGUGUUACCACCCGAAGAGGGUGUUGCACCACUUGAUGAUCAACAUAUAUACACGGCCCUAUAUCUCAUUAGGAGCCAUAUUCAUCCUGACCUAAAGGCUGAAUACUUGUUGGAGGAAAAUCCACGAAAUUUAUGGAAUUCUCUUAAGCAACACUAUGAACAACAAAAGGCACUUGUCCUACCCACAGCCAACUAUGAGUGGACACAACUUCGGUUACAGGAUUUCAAAACUGUGAGUGACUACAACCAUGCUGUUCAUAGGAUUUGCUCAAAGUUGCAAUUCUGCGAGAAAGAACCUACAGAUGUGGAUAAGAUAGAAAAGACUUUGUCUAUUAUGCUUCCCUCUGAACGGAUUCUUCAACAACAAUACUGUGAAAGGCAUUUCCAGGUUUAUUUUGAGCUUAUACAAACUCUACUUGAGGCCGAAAAACAUUCUGAACUUAUGGUUUGGAAUAAUCAGCAUCGCCCCAUAGGGUCUGCUCCAUUACCUGAAGUACAUGCAUACACUCAGAAUAAACCCAAAUCUAAUGAUAUAUCUGAAAAGAAUUAUCAUCAAGGAAAUUCCAAUAAGGGUAAAAACAAACGCAAAUGCAACAAGAAAUCCCAAAAUCUUGUUUCCAACAAUGGUAAGAACAUUUCUAAAUGCAAAAAUGACAAACCUGUGUGUCAAAAGUGUGGUUGUUAUAGCCAUACUACAAAGAAAUGUUGUAUCCAAAGUCAUCUAGUUGAUCUUUACUUAAAGUCUGUGGGUUGCGGACGAGCUACACCAGGACAGAAGUAUGAAGCCCAUUUCAACCUUCGACCUGACACCACCAGGGAAGAGGCUGGUUGUUCGCAACAAGUUCCUAUAGAACCAAGCAACAACAUCAUACGAGGAGGAGAGAAUCUUACUGAUACAGGGAAUAUGAUCGUAGAAUAUACAUCCAACGACAUAUUUAGAGACUUCCACUAGGCUCCCAAUCCCUUAGAUUCUAAUAUCUCUAUGUUCUAGUGAUUCUAAUACACAAUUUAUGUCCUAUGUGUUGUAAAUAUUUAAUAAUAUCAUCACUACUUAGUAUGGAUAUCUAAUAAAUGUAUUGUACACAUUUGAUAUUCAACAAAUAAAGUAUAUAUUAUAUAUAUCAUAAUUCUUUAUUUAUAUAUAGUUUCAACGCGGGUUGAUCUGAUGGAAGAGGAAUUAUGCCUAGUGGACGGUGGUACCACUAAUUCUAUUCUUAGGGAAACAAAAUAUUUCUAAACUCUUACUAAAAGACAAAGAAAUGUUAUGACAAACGCUGGACACGAUGCUAUGAUAAUUGGUUCAGGUCGUGCCAUUAUCGUACUCCCUAUGGGUACCCAAAUUACAAUUGAGGAUGCAUUAUUGUAUCCCGAUUCAAAGCGUACCUUAUUAAUUUAUAGAGAUAUCCGUCAAAAUAGUUUCCAUAUAGAAACCCUUGACGACAAUAAUGAGGAAACUCUCCUUGUUACUAAAAACAAUGGAUAUGGCAAACAAAUUGUUGAGAAAAUUCCUUCUUUUCCGUCCGAAUUAUACUACACAUACAUCAAACACGUUCCACAUGUUGCGUACAAGGUAAUUUUCCAUAAUGUUGACGCAUUUAUAACUUGGCAUGAUUGCCUUGGUCAUCCUGGUAUAGGGAUGAUGCGGAAAAUUAUCAGCAAUUCUAAUGGUCAUGAGUUAAAUACUGCUAAGUUCCCCAAAUCUUCAUAUUUUAUGUACACUUCAUGUGCUACAGGGAAAUUGAUCUUACGUCCAUCACCCGUUAAGAUCCAAAAUGAGCCACUUAAAUUUCUUGAACGCACUUAAGGAGAUAUUUGUGGCCCCAAACAACCAACGUCUGGACCAUUCAGGUACUCCAUGGUUCUAAUAGAUGCAUCUACUAGAUGGUCUCAUGAGUGUCUUUUGUCCACACGUAACCAUGCUUUCACAAAAAUUAUUGCUCAAGUUAUUAAACUUAGAGCACAUAAUCCUGAACAUCAAAUUCAAUCAAUUCGAAUGGACAAUGCUGCUAAAUUUUCCUCAAAGGCUUUUAAUGAUUAUUAUCUGGCUUUAGGAAUUCAAGUUCAGCACUCUAUCCCGUAUGUCCAUACACAAAAUGGUUUAGCAGAAUCUCUUAUUAAGAGAAUUAAACUCAUUGCGAGACCAUUAUUACAAAAUUGCAACCUACCAACUUCAUGUUGGGGUCAUGCAGUUUUACACACUGCUGACUUAAUUCAAUUGUGUCCAACUGCAUAUCAUGUACUCUCCCCGUUUCAACUAGUACGUGGGAAUAUGCCAAAUAUUUCUCAUCUGCGAAAAUUUGGUUACGCUGUAUACGUACCGAUCUCACUACCUAAGUGUUCCUCUAUGGGUCCACAUAGGAAAUUUGGUAUUUAUGUGGGAUAUCAAUCUCCAUCGUUUAUCAAAUACCUCGAGCCUCUUACAAGGGACUUAUUCACGGCCCGGUAUGCUGACUGCAUAUUCAACGAUGACCAUUUUUCGGCAUUAGGGGGAUAUUUCAAGUACCAAAAAGAAUGCCAGGAAAUCAACUGGAAUGCACAUGGCAUUUUCUCCUCAGAUCCACGUAUUCUAGAGACUGAACAACAAGUUCAGAAAAUCAUAAACUUGUAACAUAUUACAAAUAACCUGCCAGGAGCAUUUACUGAUUAUAAGAAUGUCACUAAAUCCUCUUAUCACUAAAUCCUCUUAUCCUGCUCGCAAUGCUCCCGAAAGAGUGGAGGUACCAAUAAAAACCAAUCAACUCCCACUUCUAAAGAAGAAGGGGUGAAGUACGGCCGCUCCUAAGGAUAAUGCUCCAAGUAAGCGUCUGAGGAAAUCGAGAGCUAAAUCCUCCAAAUCAUUAAAUUCAAGCUGACCUCACAAUGGUGGAUAAAAGUCUAACACCGGGACCAAAUCUACAACCCGGAUCAAUAGUAUAUCCAAAUUCUGAUCUUAGGACAUCGGAACACCCUAACUCCAUAGUUUUGGAAAAUGUUGAGUCAAAUAAUGGGGUGAAAGAAAUUUCCAUCAAUUAAAUCAAUUCUGGAGAAUCAUAUGAUCGUAAGACUACUGUUGUAGACAUGUAUUGCUCUGCAGCAAUUAUAGAAAUCUUUCUGUUGAUGCAAAAGUGAAUCUGCAAACACAAAGGGCUAAUACCCGAUCCGAUAUCCAAGACGUGCCAGUUGAUUUGACCUGUUAAUUGAUAAGGAUGGUAAUUCAAGUACUUUAGUCCCGACAACAGCGAUGCGCCCGAAAGUCAUGGCCAAGAGGUACUCACACAGAACUCAAGGAUCGUCGAGGGUUGCACUAGAGCGAUGCAACUCGCCGAAUCGAUGAGAACUCGUAAAAGAGAAAAUAUGCAUGUUGAUGAAAUCAUCGAAAAAUAAGUAGAUGCAGAAGUAGGAGUAAACUUGGAUUUGAUAUUGAUUGAUUAUUCCCUAUUACAUUGUCUCUCGGCUUAUAUUUAUACCCUGACCUAAAGAAUUGCACCAAUGACGACCAAGAUCCGAUUCUAAGACAAAACAGGACUCUUACAUAAGGCAUACUUUAACAAAUAUAGAAAAUAUAAAACAACACCUAUCUACUUUCGUGUCCGCCUUAACCACAAUAAAAAUCUUCAUCGGCUCCUGCUCCAUCGGCAUGCUUUUGGUCAUCAUAAGCUUCACCAGCAGUAGUCUUCCUGUCUUCCUUCAUCGACAUUGGCAAUGUAUUACCAUAAGCCAUAUCGGCAAUAGUUCUCCACUCAGCAUCGGCAAACACCAUCUCCAAUCUUAUUAAUCAACACUUCUGUAUUUAAGUUAAAAGACAAUCCUUCCAUCAAUCACCACCUUUCAUUGGCAACAAUCUCCAUCGGCUGAUCUUCAUCGGCACCUUUCUGUUAGCACAUUGCAACAACUUCCCCACUACCGAUUGGUCCAUUUUGAUUAUCUUGACACGUGCCAAAAGCGGUGUCAACACAUGCCUCCCAAUUUUGGAGUAUAAGAUCAUUAAUGCUCCAAAAUUUACUCCAGAUAAUGAUUGCCUUUAUGUAAUUAUCUCCUUUAUGACAAAAUUUGUUGCCGAAUCCAGUUAAAUCCAGCCCCGAUUCUUGUGCCUCAGUAAAUAUCACACAACCUCCAACCAUCCUUGUCCCGAUUAUGGCCAGAAUAUAAGGGAAGCAAACCAUCGGUAAGAGUCCAAUACCAUACCAUACUGCCGAUCCCGGUAUUAAAAUAUUUUUGUACACCGGAAUAUCCCCUGAAUCAUGAUUACUUGCCAUCAAAUCAUCCACACAAUCCCUUGAUUGUCGUGCGAACAGUUACCAUAUCCAUCUGAACAACCUCGACUUUUACACGCGCGGCAGAGAGAUAACUCUAGAAUGCACAUGCCCUAUUUAGCCUAUAAACACAUUUCCCUCAGAUACCUUUCUUCUACCUUGCCAUUCCAAUCUGCCAAACACCUACUCUCUUCGACGGUGAUCUUGACGAUCCACCGUCCGACCUCAAUCGUCGAGAACUUCCUACAGCGGCAGCCUCAUCUCCAUCCGCUCAAAGCAAUAGCAAUCAACUUCAAUGUCCCCGCGGUCAGUCUUGUACCCAUCUCCUUUUCUUUUACCUUUGCAAGUUCAUAUAUUUAGUGAUUUUCUUUUUCUUUUCUUCUGUCCUUUUGAUCUUUCAAACUUAGGAGCUGAGCAACGAUUAGUUAUUCCAACCGAUCAAACGCACACCUAAUGCCUAGGCCCGAUGGGUGACCCAGAUCCAACCGAUCUGAUUAAUGCAGAAACCAAUAUAAUCCCCUUCAGAGCUCAGAAUUUUUCUCUAGAUCUGUAGAAAGACACCUUCCGAUCUUGGCCAAAAACCACCAAGGGAUGGAAACAUUGAUAUGAGAGGGUCAAUAGAUCGGUGGAAGUAUAUGGUGCCGAACGAAAACUAGACCAAUGUAUCAGGCUAUCCAUUGCCGAUAUACAGAAGAAUGAGUCGAUGAUGAUAGCGGCUGCUUACUUUUGGUCAGACACCACUAAUACUUUCAUGUUUGGACACGGCUUAGCCACUGUUGACGGUUCUUAAGUAUCAAUUUUAAUUAUCAAAAAAACAAGAGAAAGGACCAAUAUGCAAACAACACCUAGAAUUAGGGUUUGAUCUGACAGAAUUCCACGAGUUUUGUUGUUUAUCUAUUUCUGCAGGGGGUUAUCAGAAAAUAAGGAAGAAAGGCCCACAUAUCAGGAUUACAUAGAGAUAUCAAUGCACCGCACGAUUUUCUACCAUCUAGAAGACUCCAGAAGCCACGGGAAGAAAACAGAGGCCGAAAGGGGCCAGGCCCAGGGCGCCCGCCCCCUGCUGGAUGUCAAUCAGGACUCUCUUCGCACGGGAUAUUCCACCGACCUAUUGGAUCAAGAAAAACAUAGUACCACCUCGCCUACCGACCCAAAAACGCAUAGAGGAGGAGGACUAUAUAAGGAGACCCCCUGGCCCCUGGAGAACACAUGAAGAAAUUAUCAUAGAGAUUGAGGGGUGCCCUCGAAGGAAAACCUCUUCUCUAAUUAAUAUUUCUUUUUAGGCUUAGCAACCAAUGUAAAGUAGAAAUAGAUCUUCUAGUUUCUACUAGAUUGAGAGAGAUAGAGUGGAGGUGUAGAUUGGAGGAAGCCCGGCCUGUCGGUGUCUACUCCAAGCUUGUACCUGCGGGAUCAAGAUCUCCUAACCCGAAGCUUGCUCCUAGGAUUCUUCAGUAUUUCGACUUCUAAAUUCUAGUAAGUACUUGUUUUAUUGUUCUUCUGGUUUAUGAGUUUACUUUAAUCUCUUUGCGUAGAGUUUAGAGUAAUCAUUGCUGGCGUAAAUGUGGUAUUUAGGCUGGGGUACUCAUAGAUAUUCCCUGACUAGCUGGACCGUGGUAGUAGUGAGGAACGUGACAAUUCCGAGUUACCUUUGCAGACCACAUCUCGUUAGCAGGAAGAAUAGGGUUUAUAGGUGCGGGUUGAAUAUCCUUUGUGGUGUCUAGAUUCCGUUAGCCUCCCCAUUAGAACAGUAGAUCAUCCUUACCAAGGUUAGAAGGAGACUACGGUUGCAGUCUUCUCUAUUUAUCACUCACAUCGAAAGACAUUCUUUGUGCCUAAAGGGUUAGUAGUAAUAGACCGGUUAGUCAGAUGCACUCUUUCUCCUAGUGGUAAAAAAAUAAAUACGAUACUCUGGAUAAUUUCCCGGGUGAAGUGCUCACCGAUAUCCGUGCGCUUGCGGAUCAAUUCCUUAUUGCGUUCCCAAAUAUCAACAAGCAUUUCUGGCGCCGUUGCCGGGGAGAAAGACGGUUGCUGAGAUAACCUGAGUCUUACUACUAGCUUGUAUCUAUACUUUUAUCUUUUCUUAUCUUUUAUAUUCUUUAUUUAUUUUCUUUACUCUUACCCUAUGGAAAACCAAAAUUCUAAAUCGAUCCAUGAAUCUGCAAUCCCUUUAGCAACUGACCUUUUACCAUGGGAGUCAUCACAGCCUAUCCAAACAUCCCAGUAUAAGUUAAGUUCUAGGUUGAUUGCCAUGAUUCAAAACCUAUCUUUUUCGGGAAAGGAAGACGAAAACCCUUACCUUCAUAUUAGAGAUUUUGAGCAAACAUGUGAUUGUCUUCGCAUUGAAGGCAUUUUUGAUAAAACUUUACGUUGGAAGCUUUUUCCUUUUUCCUUAAGGGGAGAAGCUAGACAAUGGUACAGUCAGAAGGUAAGUCAACAACAAGGUGAAUGGGGAGUUUUACGAGCUAACUUUUGUCUAGAUUUCUAUUCCCUUGACCGUAUAGCCGACCUUAGACUCGAAGUCCUGGAAACGUUUUUCUGAUCUUUUAGAAUCUGGUCCAAACCUUAAUCUUGAAGACCCUAUUCUUUUAUUUCACUUUUUUCGAGGUCUUCAAAAAAAUCACAAACAAAUGCUACACACAAUGUCUAGAGGUUCUUUCUUUCGAAUUCCUACUGAUGAAGCUAGAGUGAUCCUAGAUAGAAUCCUAGAAGCUGAGAUGGAUAAUACCCUUCAUGAUGAAACCUACGAAGCCGAAGUAGACACUCUGCCAAAUUCUUCAUCUACUUUAGCUAUCCCAAGUUCUGAGCCACAAGAGGAAGAAAUUCCACCACCGGACUUCAUGCUGGAUAUAGAAUCCGAUCUUCUUGCCGAUUUUGGAAAUAUUUCAAACUACCAUUCUAUUGACAAACCCCAAAACAGCCAGUUUAGCAUUUAUUUGCCAAGUGAAUAUCAAUUGAGAGAGCUUAUCUCAGUAAUGAGUAGCGAAUGGUUGGAGGAAUCAGAGCUUUCCUCUGAUGUGAUCCGUUUGGACACACCCUCUAUAACUAUACGCUGUGCUUAUAAUUUUGAUCGAUUUAAUGCUCUUUAUAAUCCUGUUGUGGGGAUAAAUAUCAUGUCCAAAUCUUUUGCACUUAAACUAUUUAAAAAUCUUGUCUUAACCCCCACAACGAAGGUCAUAAAGGAAUCUUCGGGACGAUUAGUCCCCAGUCUUGGAAUUAUUAAUGUCCUACCUCUUACGGUAGAAGGCUCCAUGGUUCAUUUGAACUUCUAUAUCUUUGAUACAUGGGACUUCGACCUGUUGAUAGAACAACCUUUUAGAAGACUCCUUUAUGAAGGUCAUACUGGAAAGCUACACAUUUCUUUUGGAAAAACCUUUAAAUUCCCAAUAACAAUUUCACACUCCUUAAACAAUAAGGCCGAAUCAUAUCUUUUGCUGAUCCUAUGGAGGAGGUAAAGGCUGCAUCUCUAGAGCUUUUAGAUGAACCAGACUUAGAAGACGAAAAUCCUUUCUUCACAGAGGAAGAAGCCGAACCUUCUGAGCCUGAACCCUUAGAUGAGUUUGCAGAAACACCUAGACCCCCCAUAGAGCUUAAAACUUUACCACCCGGUCUUACCUAUGCUUUCUUAAACAAUAAUCCAGAGUUCCCUGUAAUUAUUAGCGAUAAACUCACUCAGGAUCAAACUCUGCGAUUAAUGACCAUUCUUGAGAAACAUCACUCAGUUUUCGGCUACUCACUCCAAGAUCUUACAGGAAUCAGUCCUAUGAUUUGUACCCAUCGUAUUCCAACAGAUCCUUCUGUUUCACCCUCUCGAGAACCCCAAUGUAGACUUAAUAACACUAUGAGAGAGGUAGUUAAAAAGGAAGUUAUAAAGUUGCUGCAUGCAGGGAUUAUAUAUCCUGUGCCGCACAGUGAGUGGGUAAGCCCAGUGCAAGUUGUGCCUAAAAAGGGAGGCAUGACUGUUAUUAUGAAUGAAAAGAACAAGCUAAUUCUGCAACGCACCGUCACAGGAUGGCGGAUGUGCAUAGACUAUAGAAAACUAAACAAAGCCACGAGAAAAGAUCACUUUCCUUUACCUUUUAUAGAUGAGAUGCUAGAGCGGUUAGCAAACCAUUCGUUCUUCUGUUUCUUAGAUGGAUAUUCAGGGUAUCAUCAGAUCCCGAUCCAUCCCGAUGAUCAAAGCAAAACCACUUUUACAUGCCCAUAUGGAACCUAUGCUUACUGUAGAAUGUCUUUUGGGUUAUGUAAUGCACCAGCUUCUUUUCAAAGAUGCAUGAUAUCUAUAUUUUCUGAUAUGAUUGAAGAGAUUAUGGAAGUUUUCAUGGAUGAUUUCUCUGUUUAUGGAAAAACUUUUGAUAGUUGUCUUGAAAACUUAGAUAAGGUUUUGAAAAGAUGUGAAGAAAAGCACUUAAUCCUUAAUUGGAAAAAAUGUCAUUUUAUGGUUAGGGAAGGAAUAGUGCUGGGACACCUAGUGUCUGAAAGAGGUAUUGAGGUAGACAAAGCUAAAAUUGAAGUAAUUGAACAACUACCUCCACCUGUGAACAUAAAAGGAAUUCGAAGCUUUCUUGGCCAUGCUGGCUUUUAUCGUAGAUUCAUAAAAGAUUUUUCAUUUAUUGCUAGACCACUUACUCUUUUGCUAGCCAAGGAUGCUCCUUUCGAAUUUGAUGAUGCAUGUUUAACAUCUUUCAAUUUAUUAAAGAAAGCACUCAUCUCUGCACCAAUCAUUCAACCCCCUGAUUGGUCGUUGCCUUUUGAAAUUAUGUGUGAUGCUAGUGAUUAUGCUGUGGGGGCAGUAUUAGGACAAACUAAAAAUAAGAAGCAUCAUGCAAUUGCUUAUGCCAGUAGAACUUUGAGAGGAGCUCAACUUAAUUAUGCAACCACUGAAAAAGAGCUUCUGGUUGUUGUCUUUGCCAUUGAUAAAUUUAGAUCUUAUUUAGUUGGAGCUAAAAUAAUUGUUUACACUGAUCAUGCUGCACUAAAAUAUUUGCUCACUAAAAAAGAUGCUAAACCUUGCCUGAUUAGAUGGAUCUUAUUACUCCAAGAAUUUGACUUAGAAAUAAAAGAUAAAAAGGGAGUAGAAAAUUCUGUGGCUGAUCACUUGUCUAGAAUGUAUUUUAAGAGUCCACAGGAAACCCCCAUCAAUGAUUCACUCCGAGACGACAUGCUCUACGGGAUUAACAGGUCUGACCCCUGGUAUGCAGAUAUUGUUAAUUUUAUGGUUUCAGGGUAUGUACCACCAGGAGCAAACAAGAAGAAGCUUAUUCAAGAAAGUCGUUCACAUAUAUGGGAUGAGCCAUACCUCUUCCGAGUAUGCUCUGAUGGCUUACUCAGGAGAUGUGUGACCACUGAGGAAGGAUGGAAGAUCAUCGACAGAUGUCAUUCAUCACCAUAUGGAGGUCACUAUGGAGCAUUCCGUACACAUUCAAAGAUCUAGCAGUGUACAAUGUAUGAAGACACGAAGCAAUAUAUCAGAAGAUGUGGGCCAUGUCAAAGACACGGAAACAUAAAUACAAGGGAUGCAAUGCCACUCACCAACAACCUUCAGAUUGAGCUCUUUGAUGUCUGGGGAAUAGACUACAUGGGUCCAUUUCCUCCAUCAAAGAAGUGCGAGUACAUCUUGGUGGCGGUUGACUAUGUCUCCAAGUGGGUAGAAGCAUUACCUUGCAAGCAUGCCGACAACGUCAGUUCAAAGAGGAUGUUUGAAGAAAUUAUAUUCCCAAGAUUUGGAGUCCCCAGAGUAGUGAUAAGUGAUGGAGGAGCACACUUCAUCGACAAACGCUUCAAGCAAUAUCUAUCAAAACAUGGAAUCCGUCACAACGUUGCUACCCCCUAUCAUCCUCAGACAAGUGGCCAAGCAGAGACUUCCAACAAACAAAUCAAGAAUAUUCUUCAGAAGACAGUAAAUGAAAUGGGAACGGCGUGGAAAGACAAGUUACCCGAUGCACUCUGGGCAUACCGGACAGCAUACAAGACCUCAAUCGAAAUGUCUCCAUACCAAUUGGUGUACGGGAAGACUUGCCAUCUACCUGUUGAACUAGAGUUCAAAGCACAUUGGGCCAUAAAGAGAUGGAAUAUGGACCUAGAUGUUGCUGGAGAUUAUAGAAGAAUGCAACUAUCAGAAUUGGAAGAAUGGCGAGAGAAGGCGUAUCACAAUUCAAAGAUCUACAAAGAAAGAGUCAAAAGGUGGCAUGACAAGAGAAUCAAGAAGAAGGAGUUCACACCCGGAGAUAAGGUAUUACUUUUUAAUUCCAGGGUGAAGCUUUUUGGGCAUGGAAAACUCCGAAGCAAAUGGGAAGGACCAUUCAAGGUAAUUAAUUCAUCAUCCCACGGAGCUAUCACACUUCAAAAUAGCAAAGGUACGUUAUUCAAGGUAAAUGUUCAAUGUCUUAAAUUAUUUUUAGAGCCCAAUGAAGAAUUUUAAGAAAUAGACGUAGUCCAUUUUUACCUUCCCAUGGAGAAUUAGAGCCCGACCUUUUUAGUCUGAUGAUUUUGGGUCAUAUAUAUAUUUUUCUAAAUAGUUUUGCAUCUAGAAACGCGCUCGAGAAAGUGGGCCCAUAGAGGGGCCAGAGAGAGGGCGGGUGCCCAGCUCAAGUGGGCGGGCGCCCAGCUCCUGUUCCCCCUCGGUCCCGAUUUUCUCUGUUAUGGAAAAUGCACUUAUUGUAAUUCGAAUAAUCCCUCGGAUGGAAAGUUUUGCACGCACGUCGACGGGAGCAACCCGAACAACCCAUAGAGGCACCUUUUAACCCCUAUAUAAACAGACCCCUGACCUCAGUUUUCAAACACCAAGCCACCAAGCCUUCUCUCCUUCAAUUAGAGCUUGAUUAGUUCCUUGCUGCUCCAAUGGCCGAGAAGUACCACGAUGAUUGGGAAGUCGUCCCCUUCAACCUCAACAUGGAGCCUGUGGAAGACCCCGAUGCCCGUGCUCUCGUCCCGGCCAACACAGAGCGACAGCUAGAAGCCAUGCCAUUACGCCAACGCAGCUCCGCCCAAUCCUACCAUGCUCAACCAGUUCUCACCGCACCGCCACAACCCCUACUCCUCAAAGGAUCAUCAUCCAAGACGAAGACCACUAUCAAGGUGCCAACCGGCACAAGGAUCCUUCCACCUAGACACAAUGAGAGGGUCGUUGGAGUCAAGACCAACCGGAGCAGCGAGAUCAGCAGUGUACGCUACACUACGGAGGAGGAAAGGCCUUACUUUGAAGGGAUUCGAGCAGCCAAAGUCCGUUUCAUCCCUCCAAAGGCAGCCUCGAAGCACGCUCUCAAUGCUUUUGAGACACCUCCCAAGCGUCGCAAGACUAUAGUAGACAUUGAUGAGGACGUUCGCAGACUAGACAGAGUUAUCAUAGAUCUCCAGUCCUCGAUUAAUUCCCUCACUAGGCAGCUCUCUAACCACAACACUAUUAUACUAGGCCUUAGGCAGGAUCUUGCCAGUGCCAAUAAGAAGAUUAAGGAAUUAGAGCGCCGCUAAGUUAUCUAGAUUAGACCUUGAGGCAAUGCAUUUUAGUCAUCUAUCUUUAAAUUCGGUUUAGGUUUGCUAUUAUCAUCAGUUUGCUAUUAUCAGUUUGCUACUAGUCUUUUGUAAUAAAUGCCUCAAGAUUAAUAAAGAGUAUUAUUAUUAUUAUGUCUUGUGUGUCUCCAUUUUAUUUUUGUGCAAGAAAGCAGAAAACAAGUACGGGGGAGAUCCCUCGACACGCUAAACACACUCCGACUACACCACUCCACGAUUCAGGUACACACUCUGCAAACUUUACUUUAUACAUACAACUAUCUUGAUUAUGCAGAUUACUUUUCCGACAUGAUAAAAUAAAAAGAUUAAAAUAUUUCUAAUCAUGAUUAAUCUCAAUCUGUGAUGUUUCCUAAAAACUUGCAAUUAUUGAAAAUCAUUUUAAAACCCUGUGUUACUUAAGUCAUUAUGGAAUAUGUGAUGGUAGAGUAUGAGUUUCUUAUUCUUGAUAUCAUUGUUGCUUGGAAAAUUUAUUUCAAAAUAUUCAAAACUCUAGCUACCAUCCUCAGUGUUUUAUAUGCCUGAUAAAACUGAAAAUAUUAAUUAUAAUUAUAAAAGCUAUCUACUCUGUAUUGAGUUUGUUCAAAAUGAGUUAGACCCUUGUUGAGAGAUUUAUCAUGCUCCUAAGAUCAAGACAUUUAUUCAGAAAGAUUCACUCUUCCGAAGUAUUAUUGCAUUAGAGGCAUGGGCUAUGCAAAAAUAGAGAUAUUUCGAGGAAAUAAAAAGGAGCAAGUGCUCGACAACCUCGCAGAAAAAAUGGACAAGUGUCCGGCAGUAGAAUUAGGGGUACUUCGGUAUCCACUUAAAAAAAUGAUAGCCCAUGGUCCCUCUAAUAAGCAAUAUGCCAGCAAGAGUUGACAAAGAUUUUAAUUUCCAAAGUCUUUGAUCUAAGAGUAUAACAUUCCCCUCCUCGGAUCCCGUUUUGAUCAGGCAAUAAAUGCAAAGUGAGUAUGCUUGAGAAUUUUUUGCAAAAUAAAACAACCUCAGUGAGAUAUAUGAAAGAUAAUGAGUGAUCUGAGAGAACCUAUGAGGAUCAAAAGGUAUGCUAACUUUCUUUCAAAAAUAUACAAAAAACUCCAAGUGACACGAUUGAGAAGAAAGGAUCUUAAACAUCCCUGACUAUGGUACACAGUGGAUUUUUAACACCCUGCAAAUAUAAAGAAUGUUUUAAAAUGUUUUACCCCAGAUAUUGUUCUUAACCAUCCUUUUUCUCGAGGACGAGUAAAAGCCUAAGUAUGGGGGUAUUUGUUGACGGUUGUUAAGUAUCAAUUUUAAUUAUCAAAAAAACAAGAGAAAGGACCAAUAUGCAAACAACACCUAGAAUUAGGGUUUGAUCUGACAGAAUUCCACGAGUUUUGUUGUUUAUCUAUUUCUGUAGGGGGUUAUCAGGAAAUAAGGAAGAAAGGCCCACAUAUCGGGAUUACAUAGAGAUAUCAAUGCACCGCACGAUUUUCUACCAUCUAGAAGACUCCAGAAGCCACGGGAAGAAAACAGAGGCCGAAAGGGGCCAGGCCCAGGGCGCCCGCCCUGGUGACCUGGGCGCCCGCCCCCUGCUGGAUGUCAAUCAGGACUCUCUUCGCACGGGAUAUUCCACCGACCUAUUGGAUCAAGAAAAACAUAGUACCACCUCGCCUACCGACCCAAAAACGCAUAGAGGAGGAGGACUAUAUAAGGAGACCCCCCUGGCCCCUGGAGAAGACAUGAAGAAAUUAUCAUAGAGAUUGAGGGGUGCCCUCGAAGGAAAACCUCUUCUCUAAUUAAUAUUUCUUUUUAGGCUUAGCAACCAAUGUAAAGUAGAAAUAGAUCUUCUAGUUUAUACUAAAACUAGAUUGAGAGAGAUAGAGUGGAGGUGUAGAUUGGAGGAAGCCCGGCCUGUCGGUGUCUACUCCAAGCUUGUACCUGCGGGAUCAAGUUCUCCUAACCCGGAUUCUUCAGUAUUUCGACUUCUAAAUUCUAGUAAGUUCUUGUUUUAUUGUUCUUCUGGUUUAUGAGUUUACUUUAAUCUCUUCGCGUAGAGUUUAGAGUAAUCAUUGCUGGCGUAAACGUGGUGUUUAGGCUGGGGUACUCAUAGAUAUUCCCUGACUAGCUGGACCAUGGUAGUAGUGAGGAACGUGACAAUUCCGAGUUACCUUUGCAGACCACAUCUCGUUAGCAGGAAGAAUAGGGUUUAUAGGUGCGGGUUGAACAUCCUUUGUGGUGUCUAGAUUCCGUUAGCCUCCCCAUUAGAACAGUAGAUCAUCCUUACCAGGGUUAGAAGGAGACUACGGUUGCAGUCUUCUCUAUUUAUCACUCACAUCGAAAGACAUUCUUUGUGCCUAAAGGGUUAGUAGUAAUAGACCGGUUAGUCAGAUGCACUCUUUCUCCUAGUGGUAAAAAAAUAAAUACGAUACUCUGGAUAAUUUCCCGGGUGAAGUGCUCACCGAUAUCCGUGCGCUUGCGGAUCAAUUCCUUAUUGCGUUCCCAAAUAUCAAUAGCCACCCCCACUGUUGUCGAUGUGCAUAUGCUCACAGGCUUAGAUAUCUCAACUGCCGAUGACCCCAUGGUUUACAACAGAAGAGCUGAGUACAAAGUGAGCACUCGCAACAUCGGCGGUUGGACAGGAUACAUCCAGGAAUACCAGAAGACUGGAUUGGUUGGCCAAAGGGAACAUGCCAUAUUCCUGAAUAUAUGGCUAGACAAAUUUAUCUUCUGCGGCCGAUCGGUAGGGCCAACUAGCGUCUAUCUUGCUGCAGCCGAACUGCUGGCCAAUGGAAUGAGAUUCCCCCUGGCCGAUACCUCUUGAGUUCCACUUAUCACCUUCUUCACCAAGUAUCUCAGAGGUCCGAGGUGGUUCAUCAAUAUGUGGUUGAACGCCCAUAUGCAUAAGCGUCUGUAAUGGGAUUUUUUCACCAAGCAAAUUCCAUGGGAUAUUACCGAAGAUUAUGAACUUACGAAUGAAGAAUCGCCAACACGCCCGCCCCUCAAUUUUGGCAAGGCAAUAAUAAUACUCCCUGGGACAGAAGCCAAUGAGGACCAAAUCGGCAGGUUCUUCUAGACCUUCUACAAUAGCCUCUCCCGUGAACAUCGGGCCUGGAUGCCUUAUAUCGACGAAGAAUCCAGAUUCCCCCUCCUCUUCAACCUUGUCGAUGAGGCAUUAAACAAAGACAAUGAUCUGAUGAUGGCCAUCAUCACUCCCCGGGCAAUUCUAGCCAACACAUUCAGCAGUGGGAAGAAUGCCAGCAUCGCUUAUGAGUUUUAUAACCCAUCGGCUAUAGCAUGUCAACUGGCCUUUGAUCAACUGCCGGUCAAGCUCUGUUAUGCCGAUGUAAUCAAAUCAAGAGAAGCAAUCACCAGCGGAUUAGAUUGGGACAAGGUGGUCUAACUCCACCCUGACGUCGAUACCUCAGAUACUGAUCUUUUGACCUCGGUGCCGACCUCCUUCAUUACUGAAUCAUACAAGUCAUGGUGGCAAGAAUGGAGGAGUCAAUUAUUUGCAGCACCUGCGCACACGUAUUGGCAUCUAUGAGGCCUUCUAUGACAAUUAGAAGUUCAUCUGUUGUCAUAGAAUCCCUGUCAAAAAAGACCUUCUAUGACAAUUACAAGCUAUUUUUGUGACAAUUUGAGAUCUAUGACAAUUGUAAUUGUCACCAAAAUUGUCACAGAUCAAAAAUUGUCACAAAAAUUGUCACAGAAGGUCUUUUUGACAGGGAUUCUAUGAUAAGAGAUGAACUUCUAAUUGUCAUAGAAGGCCUCAUCUCUCGUAACCCUGAGCAUGUCGUCCCCGAUGAUGCGGUAAGCUUCUUCCAACACUUAGUCCUUUCUUCAUCUUUCACUUUAUCGGCAACUAACUCCUCUGCUUGACAGGUCGAUGGUCUAGCACCAGCUAUGAGCAAAAGUGGGAAACCUUUCGACCUUCGGCCCGUUUCUCCAAUAUCGUCAAUUGGCUACCAUGCUCCCACUUUGGCCGCUCUAACUCAUCAGGGAGCCCGUCCCAAGAAAACCACCACCCAGCGCCCAAAAGCCACUCCAUCGACUGCUGCUGCAACUCUAGUAAAAGCGUUCAAGGUAACAACUUUGCUUACUUCAAUUUUAGGCCGAUCUCAAACUGUACUGACACUAUUUUUCCAGUGCAUUACAACUGCAACUGGGGCGUCAUCAGCAACCUCUUCCGCACCAGAUACUGUCAUCCUUGAUGAGCCUUUAGAGGUACUUUCCUGACUUUAUAUUUAAUUUAUCAAACAUCAUGCCUUACAUCUGUUUUGCAGCAACAAACUGAUGCAUCGGCAAGAGCCUCGGACGUUCAACCAACAAGUGCCGAUGCCCCCCAGCCAGCAGCCACCAAAGCUCAAACCAAGCAAAAAGCUCCAACAAGCACCAAGACCCAACCAAAGCGGCAAAAAGUUGUACCUUCUUCACCACCCUAGCCGGUGCCCCUAAGCCAACCAAAACUGGCCGAUGUACCUGAGCAGAUAACCGAUCCAUCUGGCCAAGAUACAUCAUCAGCCAUUACACCCGGGUAAACCAUUAAUCCAUCUGCAUAAGUUACAUCAUCGGCUGUCAUAUUUCAAGAAUUCACUACCGAUAAAUCUACUAAGAAAUUGUCGUUAAUCUUAGUAUUAAUCAACUCUAUAGCUAAAGAUAUUUCAUCGGCAGGCCCCGUCGAUCCUCAUCAGGGUACAAUCCAGACUGCUUCUUCCUACCAAAGGAAAGAGAUUGCCUUGAAACAAGUAAGCCAUCUGACUUAACCAAUUUGCACUAUUCAUACUUGUUCUUAACUGACUCAUUUUCUUUUUUCAGGAACAAGACUCCCUCGAUAGCCUAUUCUCUUUCGCCAUUGACAUUUCUGAUGAUGAAGGGGAAGAAGCAAGCUCCGCAUUGGCGCUAGGAACAGUAUCGGCAGAGGUUAGAUCUAAACUGGAGGCUCUGUUGAACCUGCUGCAACAAGACACCACUCAAUUGGUAAAUAACUCGGACCCUGCAAAGAUGAUUUUCAAAACAGUCCGCGACCAAGUCCCUGCACAUAUUGAGGAAGCACUCUUCCAGGCUGCCCAUUUGGAAAGCCGCCAGCUCCAAUAUCAAAAGGCCGCUCAACGCAUUGCCGAUAGGGCUACCUAGGCUCAACUUAAGGAAAAGAUGCUGCAACUGAAGCAUACCGCCGAUGAAAAACAUAAGAGCAUUGGUAGUUUGCAAACCUCAGGUGCUGAAUUGAAGCAAAAGAUCUCAUAAUUGUCGCCGAGGAAAGAAGCUCUACUGGUCGAGUUCAAGGAGGUCGAAGAAGCGCUGGCCCACGCCAAACAAGAGGAAAGUUAGCUGCCCGAUGCCAUCGAGGUUCUCUAGCAAGGGAGAGAUACCCAGGCCCGCAAAGCUUUGGCAAUGAAGAAGAAGCUCAAACCAGUGGAGGGCUCAGUCGAUGAAGAUAUUAAGGAGAUAGAGGAAGCUGACCAGAUUUGCCUGCAUGCGAUAUCGGCUAUCCAAUCCUUGUUAAAUUUGUAAAUUUCUUCAUCGGCAGUGCGUUGCAUCGGUGCUUUUCAGAAACAUUGAUACUUUUGUCCAGCCGAUAGGAUUGUUAUCGACAUUUAUACUCUUAUGCGUCCAUCCAAAUACUAGGGUAAUAUUUCUUCAAAUAUUUUCCAUUCAACGCUCUAGGAAAUACAACUCCUUCGAGGGUUUCUCGAAUAUACGCGUUGCCAGGAGCAGAUUGACUUAUCCGAUAAGGACCUUCGCAAUUAGGAGACCACUUGCCAAACUUUGAACUUUUAGUACCAAUCAGUAAAAUCAAUUUCCAAGCCAACUCCCAACCGGCAAAUUCCUUUACUUUCACCCUUUUGUCAUACCAUCUGGCUACUCUCCUUUUAUUUUCUUCGAUGCUAACCAAAGCCUUCAACCGAUGAUCUGCUAAAUCUUCUAACUCAUCUUUCAUUAGUGUAUCAUAGUCUUGAGAAAAUAUUCGUCUAGAGCCAGUUUUAAUUUCCCAAGGUUGUACUGCAUCGUGCCUGUAUGCCAUCCGAUAUGACCGCAGAGCCAGUAUACUAACUGGUAAGGUGACACCUUGGUUGCACCAUGACAUGCCAUCCGAUAUGACCACAGAGCUUCAUUUAGUACUGUAUGCCACCGCUUUGGAUUUUUUUCAAUCUUGCGCUUAAUGAGUUUGAUAAUUCCUUUGUUAGAAGCUUCGGCCUGACCAUUAGCUUGAGCAUAAUAAGGAGAAGAAUUUAAAACUUUAAUCCCCAUACUGAUAGCAAACUCAUCAAAUUCUCCCGAUGUAAACAUAUUACCCUGAUCGGUAAUUAUAGUUUGAGGAAUACCAAAUCGAUAAACAAUAUGCUCUUUCACAAAAUCAAUCAUAUUGGCUGAUGUUACCUUUUUCAAAGGAAUUGCUUCAACCCACUUAGUGAAAUAAUCGGUAGCAACAAGUAUAAAUUUAUGCCCUUUGCUUGAUGGUGGAUAAAUUUGAUCGAUGAGAUCGAUAGCCCAUCCCUAGAAUGGCCAAGGUUUAAUGAUAGGAUUCAUGGCCGAUGCAGGCGCUCUUUGAACAUUGCCAAACUUUUGACACCCCUGGCAUCCUUUAAAAUAUUUAAAGCAUUCAAGAAUAGUGGGCCAAUAAUAUCUAUUUCUCCUGAUCAUCCACUUCAUCUUAAAAGCUGAUUGAUGUGCCCCACACUCCCUCAUGGAUCACACCCAUCAAGCUUUUUGAUUCAUCAUUGCUAUGACAUCUGAGUAAAACUCCAUCCAAAGUUCGAUAAUAUAAUUCAUCAUCGAGGAGCACAUACUUAGUAGCUUGAAAUCUUACACGCCUUUCAACUUUCUUGGAUGGGUCCCUUAAAUAAUCGGCAAUCUCUGUUCUCCAGUCAUCGGCAUCAACUGCCGAUGUCGCCACCUCUUGGAUAAGUAGAUACCCUAAGGCGUGCUGAGCUAGCUAAUUAGCUUCUUCAUUAUGCAAUCGAGAAUAUGCUCAAGAUGGAAAUCUUUAAACUCUUUCAAUAAUUGCAAACAUCUUUCAUAAUAUAAGAUUAAAACUUCACUUCGACAUUCAUAAAUCACAAUCAACUGAUUUAUAACCAGCAUAGAAUCACCGAAGAUCUCAACGGCAUCGGUACGUAUUUCUCUAAGUAAUUCCAAUCCCUUCACCAAAGUUUGAUACUCAGCCUGAUUGUUUGUCGAUGUAACAAUAAUCAGCAAUGAAAACUCAUACUUCCUUCCUCGGGGCGAAAUUAACACUGUGCCGAUACCUGCUCUGUCACCACAGGUAGACCCAUCAAAGAAAAGCGUCCAGGGGGCAACUUCCAAAGACUUCACUGUAUUGCAAUCCUGAGUAACAAAAUCAGCUAUAAUUUGCCCCUUUACUACUUUGGCCGAUUCGUAACGUAGGUCAAAUUCUAAUAAUGCUAAAAUCCACUUGCUGAUUCUUCCACUCAAAAUCCGCAUAGACAACAUGUAUUUGACCACAUCAUCCUUGCAUAUGGCAGUGCAUUCUGCCGAUAGCAAAUAAUGUCUCAAUUUAAAAUAAGAAAAGUACAAACAUAAGCAUAAAUUCUCAAUGGCCGAAUAUCUCGCUUCAGCAUCAACCAAUCUUCUGCUCAAAUAAUAAAUAACACGCUCUUCCCUUCAAACUCUUGAAUAAGGGCUGAACCGAUAACAGUGUCAUCGGUCGACAAAUACAAUCUGAGGGGCUUUCCGUGUUGAGGCGGAACUAAUACUGGAGGGCUUGUCAAAUCUUUCUUAAUUUCAUCUAGAGCCACCUGCUGCUCAGCUCCCCAUACAAAUUCUAGAUCAGUUUUCAACUUAAGCAAUGGAUUGAAAGCUUUGAUCUUGCCCGAUAGAUUAGAUAUGAACCUUCUGAUAAAAUUAAUCUUGUCGAUCAAAGAUUGUAGUUCAGUUUUAUCGGUAGGAGAAACUACUUUGUUAAUUGCAUCAAUAGACCUCCUAUUGAUUUCAAUUUCUCUCUGAUGUAACAUAAAACCCAAGAAUGGACCUGUUGAUACACCAAAUGCACAUUUAUUAGGAUUCAUCUUCAAACCAUACUUUCUUUUGCACUCAAGUAUCUUUCGUAGAUCGGACAGAUGUUUUACAAAAUCCCCAGACUUAACUACCACAUCAUCAAUGUAGAUCUCCACUAACGUGCUGAUGAAUUCAUGAAAAAUAAAAUUCAUAGCUCUUUGAUAAGUAGCACCAACAUUUUUCAAACCAAAGGUCAUGACUAUCCAUUCAAAUAACCCAACAUGUCCUGGACAUCUAAAGACAGUCUUGGGAAUAUCCUCUUCAGCCAUAAAUAUUUGAUUGUAACUUGCAUUGCCAUCCAUAAAGCUAAUAAUUUGAUACCCAGCUGCAGCAUCGACCAAAAAUCGGCAACAGGCAUUGGAUAGCCAUCCAUCGACGUAGCCAUGUUGAGGUUCCUGAAUUCAAUGCAAGCACGAAGCUUUCCAUUUUUCUUAUAAAUAGGAACAACAUUGUAAAUCCACUCUGCGUAUCGAUAUUGCCGAAUAAACUUGGCUUCCAUUAGUUUAGUUAUUUCGGCCUUAAUAUCAGGAAGUAUAUUAGGGUUGCAUCGGUGCGCUGGCUGCUGAUGUGGCCGAAAUCUAGACUUAAUAGGUAACCGAUGCUCAACUAUUGAUCGGUCUAACCCAGGCAUCUCAGUAUAAUCCCAAACAAAGCAAUCUUUAUAUUCUUUUAACAAAUCAGUUAAUUGUUUUUUACACUUGGAAUCUAGCUUAGCACUAAUAAAAGUAGGCCUUGGCCUAUCACCGCUAUCAAUAUCUAUUUCUAUUAAAUCAUCAGCCGAUGUAAACUCCUGACCUAACUUCCCAUUAUCGGCAAACCUAUCCAUUAAGAUUCUUCUUCAGAACUGACUGUUUGGAUCGGUGUAUGAUAUGCACUUGGUUCAUUCAUAAGUAUCAGAUUCGGCCGACGCAAUAAUGUAAGAAGAAUCACCUGGGACAACCUCAAUCUUAUCUCCAACCCACUGUACGAGGCAUUGAUGCAUUGUAGAAGGAACACAACAGUUGGCAUGAAUCCAGUCCCUUCCUAAAAGUAGAUUGUAUGCACCAUUACCAUUAAUGACAAAGAACGUUGUCGGCAAGGUUUUGCUGCCGAUGGUUAAUUCAACGCAUACUGCCCCUUUUGCUGGCGACACAUUGCCCUCAAAAUCCUUCAGCAUCAUAUCGAUUUUGGUCAAAUCUUGAUCUCCUUUGCCAAGUUUCAGAUACAUCACAUAGGGCAUAAUAUUAAUUGCAUCUCCCCCAUGAAUGACUAUUUUAAACACUGGUUGCCCAUCAACUCUGCCUUUAACAAAUAAAGCCUUGAGGUGCUGUCUCUCAUCAUGGGUAGGUUUCUCAAAAACAGCCAUCAUCGGAUCUAGUGCCAACUGAGCUAUCUGAUCACAGAGAACAAUUUCUUCUUCAUCACCGGAAGGUGCGAGGAACUCCAUCAGCAACAUAAAUACCAUAUUAACAUCUGUCGAUGGACCUUUACCCUUGUAUUCUGACUGCUGCCGAUUUUUAGGCCUUUUAUUAGAAGAACUUUCCUCUCUAUACAAAUCUUCCUGACGCUUACGUUGCAUCCACCUCCUCUGUGUCUUUGUCAAGCUCUCAGGACACCAUCGAGGAAGCUUGGUUUUCUAAACCGGCUGAUAACGGGUUUUAGUUGACUCUACACGACGUAUAUUAGGAUCCCUGUACAAUAUUUCUUCAUUGGGAACCCUUGCAUUUGCCAUUUCCUCAAGCUCUUCUUCGUUCCUUAGAAAACAGCCGACAUGGCUACCAAGCCGUUCAUGCACACUGAGCCUGCCCCCCAACCGAUCAUGUACUGAUGUUCUGCCUCUGAUCGGCUCAUUAAUGGACAAACCUCGAUUAUCAGGCCGAAACCUCCCAUCUGACCGAUUGGUCUGGCAGUAACCAUUACACUCAAGACAAUUUUCAACAGUUCGCAAUUUGAUGCCUCUUUCCCAAUAGUGAAUUAAAAACGGGCAAUCCCAAUGAUCUUUAUGACGAUUCCAUUUGUUGCGUACCAUAAAAAGGGAUACCCAAAUCAGAGCAAUAAAAAACGCAAAAGACGAACUAAGCCAUCCACCAUCGCCAGGACGCAGGUCCCAACACAUCUAUCUCCUCGAUCUCGGGCCCAAAUCGCGGCUCGCCCGACCCCUUGGCCUCGGGCGCGAGUUCCAUCUCGCGCCAGGGGCUCAGACGCAGACACCGCCUCGCCCGACCCCCUUGGCCUCGGGCGUAAGUUCCGUUUCGCCCGACCCCUCCAGGGCUCGGGCGCCAACACCGCUUCGCCCAACCAGAGCAAGUCUUCCAACUCACGGCGCUCGUACCCACGAAGUGACAGGCGCGGUGACACCCACAUCGCAGCAGGGCAUGGUGGCAACUAUUCCAACCACCCUGGACACUGUAACCUUACCUCUUUUACUGUGGUGUACCGCCUCAGAGUAAAAGAGGAAUGGGAGAGGUUAAUCAACACCACUAUUUGUUGUCUUCUCUCACUAUUAACAUGACAGUCUGCAGUAUCACAGACCCGACCCCCAUGACUCCAACAGGGCUCGGUAACCCUCCACAGGAGCAGCCAUGCCAUCAGCCAUACCUCAAGGACGGGAUGGGCGAGUCUCUACAGGGUCGGGACUAUGGAUCCACCUCUCAGCAGAGGAAUUUUCCAAUGACUCAUGUAAAGCCCUGCCUCCCCUUGAGGCUAUAAAAGGGGAGCCAGGGCUCAUGUCCAAGACAGGUUCUGCAACAAGCCCAAACACACAGCACACACACACACCAAGACUCCAAGCUAGUCCACACACAGAGUAGCAACCGGCGCUCUGUCCACACCACAAAGUCGAGACUUGGGACCUAGCCCUCUCUCGCAACUUGCUUGUACUCCCCUACUACAAGCACCUUUGGGUGCAAGGCAAUAUAGAUCCCCGACCUCACUGGACGUAGGGCACCCUUAGCCCGAACCAGUAUAAACCCUCUGUGUUCCACUUGCAUCACCAUCCAGGCUUAGGCAGUCACGCAAAUUCACGCUCGUUUGUGUCUAUACCAUGAGUCUAGACGCCGACAGUUGGUGCGCCAGGUAGGGGCCUUUUGCGUGACAUUCACCUUUUCCUACUAGGGAAGGCCUGGAUGGCACACGGAUUUCACCCACUCCGCCGUGGCACCAUCAUGAGGUUUGGGAGUUUGGAGUUCAUGUCCCUCGGCUCCGACUAUGAUAUGGUCCUCCUCCCGCCACGUGGUGACGUCGAGCCUUGCCCCGAGCCGAUCCCACCACAGUUAGUGCGUGGGAGGCGCUCGGGACACCAUACGGGGGCUGCCCGGCGGGGGCGUCAGAGGUCCAGGAUCUCUGACCCUACCACUGAGGCGAGGGUCCGUCCGGCCCUCCCCCCGCAUAUUCCUCACCAGAUCGCCCACUCCUCUGGCUCGACACGCGCUAGAGGAAGGGCCCGUGGAGCAUCAAGCUCCGUUCCACAGACCAAUAGGGGAUCAUCACGACCUCCUGUUCCUCCACGAUCAAAGGGGAAGGCACGGCUCCCGCCCGCUCCCCAGAAGAGAGACAAAGGGGCCUCAUCAUCUCGUCCCCCUCCACCUACGGAUGGAGGAGAGACAGCGGCACCUCCCGAGCUCCCUUUCGGGCUUAGGAACGCAGCCGCUACUUACGCCUCUUCCGUGAGCACUUCAGUAAGUGUGUACGCGGAUCUUCUAGGGCACCACCUCAGGUCCACCCUAGAUCUCAUUGCUUCCCCGCCCGUAUCGUCAUACCCUGAGGAUCCCACCUCAGGCGAUGACGAGUGGGCCGGCGCUGACUUUUCCGGGUGUGGCGACCCAGAGACCUUCAUGCGCUUCUUGGAGGCCAGCAACUACUGCCUCGGCUACUCCGACUCUAACGACGGCGGAUACGACCCGUCACGAGAGUGCUUCAACCGUGAGGUCGGAGCAGCGUCCCCCCACGCUCAAGGGGGUGCAGGACCCUCUAGGCAGGGGAACGCCACUCCGCCUCCCAACCCGACUCCCGAGAUCCAUCCUGGAACCCGUGGAGCUGCCUCAGCUCCGCCAGGAGGACAGCGCCCUGACCUCGAGCAGCUCAAUGAGUUGGAGGCCAGGCUCGAAGAAGAGCGCGUACGCCUCCGCCAACUCCGCGAGACCCUGGUCCAAGAUCCAUCCGGCCGCGGGGAUGGGGGCGAGGCCAGACGCCGUGCCAGGGACGUCAACCGCCGCAUCAUCGAGGACGAAGGAGGUGACAACCCCCCAGUCUUCAGUACGGCUAGCCAGAAUGUGAUGGCUGCCGCGCUCCUCCUCAAAGCGACGCCCGAGCCAUCGACUCUUGAGGGAAGAGUGCGCCAGGGGCUACGUGGCCUCCUAGAGCAAGCUGUGGUGCAGAACGCAGAAAGUUCUGCAUCACAGUCUCACGGCACAAGACGCCAAGGGGAGUGACCCCCUUCUAAACAAGGUGCCAAUGGUACAGGGACCGCCGCCCCCUAACCAGCAAGGGGGCAACAGGGCCCCAUCUUUCCACGAACGUGUCGGGGCCGAUGCGGACAUCCGGGCCACCCUAGAGGCCAGACGACGUGACAGGGACAAGGCCGAAUCUCGACGCUACCGACCAUGCCGAGGCGGAAGGUACGACCCAGACCACGACCGCAGCACGUCGCCUGAACCUCCGGGCCCCCGCGUCUUCAGCGAAGCCAUACGCAGGGCCAAAUUCCCGGCGCGAUUCCGACAGCCCACCAACCUCACCAAAUACUCCUGGGAAACCAACCCUGAGCUCUGGCUGUGGAUUACCGCCUAGCAUGUAAGCUAGGUGGAGCGGACGAUGACCUGCUCAUCAUCCGCAACCUCCCACUGCACCUGGCCGAUACGGCCAGAGCAUGGCUUGAGCAUCUCCCUGAGCGCAUGAUCCACGACUGGGCCGACCUGGUCAAGAUCUUCGUUGGGAACUUCCAGGGCACAUAUGUGCGCCCUGGGAACUCUUGGGACCUCAGGAGCUGCCGGCAGAAGCCCGAUGAGUCCCUCCGCGACUUCAUCAGGCGAUUCUCCAAGCAGUGCACCGAGCUCCCCAACAUCAUGGACUCCGAUGUCAUCGGAGCCUUCAUCUCUGGUACCACAUGCAAGUAACUGGUACACGAGCUCGAUCGAAAGACCCCCAUGAGCACUAGCCAGCUGCUCGACAUCGCCACCAACUUUGCCUCAGGCGAAGAGGCAGUUGGGGCUAUCUUCUCCGACGGCACGGCCAAGGGGAAACAAAAAGCCACCGAGGCCACCAAGGCCUCGGGCUCACGCGACCCCAAGAAGAAGAAGAAGGGUCGCAAGGGGAAGCAGGGUCAGUCGGACGACAACCUAAUCGCCGCAGCAGAUCGCAAGAACCCCAAGCGGGCUCCUGCUGGCCCCGGCCUCUUCAUCGAGAUGUUGAAGAAGCCGUGUCCCUAUCACAGGGGACCAACCAAGCACACCCUUGAGGAGUGCACUGUCCUUCGUCGGUAUUACACCGACAUCAUAACCAAGGAGGGCGCUGAAGAGCCCCCUAAGGACGGUGACCCUCAGGGGGAAGGCUUCCCCAAGGUCAAGAACUAUCUCUUGAUCGUUGGGGGACGUGCGGCUCACCUCACUAUGAGUCAGAGGAAGCGCGAACUCCGAGAAGUUUGCGCAGUCGCCACCGCCGCACCCUCGUACCUCAAGUGGUCCGAGAGCGCGAUCACUUUCGACCGACGGGAUCACCCAGAUCGGAUCCCCAAUCCUAGGAGCUAUCCUUUGAUCGUCGACCCCAUCAUCGCCGAGACUCGUCUCACCAAGUGUUGAUGGACGGAGGCAGCGGCCUCAACAUCCUUUAUGCCGAGACUCUGGCCCUCAUGGGGUUCAGCAAGUCCCGGCUAAGGAAUGACACAUCGCCAUUCCACGGAGUGGUGCCGGGACAUCGAGCCCACCCCCUCGAGUAGAUUGAUCUGCCCGUCUGCUUUGGGACCCCCGACAACUUCAGACAGGAGGUUCUCACAUUCGACGUGGUCGGGUUCCCAGGAACCUACCACGCAAUCCUAGGGCGACCUUGUUACGCCAAGUUCAUGGCCAUCCCCAACUACACCUACCUCAAGCUCAAGAUGCCAGGGCCAAAGGGCAUCAUCACCGUCAGCACGACCAGCCAGCAUGCCUAUCAGUGCGACGUUGAGUGCAUUGAGCAAGCCGAGGCCCUGGCUGAGUCUCUGGCUAUUCUCACUGGCCUCGGCGAUGGUGACCAGGACAUCCCCGACCCCAAGCGGCACGCCGGGAGCUUCGAGCCGGCAGAGGAGACCAAGCUUGUCUUCCUCGACCCCGGGACAUCUGAGGGCAGGGCGUUGAGGAUCAGCUCCAGCCUCGACCCCAAAUAGGAAGUGGUGCUCGUCGACUUUCUCCGCGCAAAUGUUGACAUAUUUGCGUGGGGUCCCUCGGACAUGCCUAGCAUACCGAGGGAAGUCGCCGAGCACUCCUUGGACAUCUGGGCCGGCUCCAAACCCGUGAAGCAGCGCCUGUGCCGAUUCGACGAGGAGAAGUGCCGGACCAUCGGGGAGGAGAUCCACAAGUUGCUGGCAGCCGGAUUCAUCAAGGAGGUAUUCCAUCCCGAGUGGUUAGCUAACCCUGUACUAGUCAAAAAGAAAAAUGGGAAGUGGAGGAUGUGUGUAGACUAUACUAGUUUAAAUAAAGCAUGUCCUAAGAACCCCUUUCCAUUACCUCGUAUUGACCAGAUAGUUGACUCCACUGCGGGAUGUGAAGUUUUAUCUUUUCUUGAUGCUUAUUCCGGUUACCACCAAAUCAAGAUGAAAGAAUCCGACCACCUCGUGACUUCUUUCAUCACCCCUUUCGGAAUGUAUUGCUACGUAACCAUGCCCUUCGGCCUUAAGAACGCGGGUGCUACAUACCAGCGAUGUAUGCACCAGGUCUUUGGGAACCUCAUAGGCAAAACGGUAGAGGCUUACAUAGACGACAUUGUUGUCAAAUCCAGGAAAGCAAGCGGCCUAGUUGCUGACCUGGAAGAAACAUUCCGAUGCCUCAGGGCAAAGGGGAUCAGGCUCAACCCCAAAAAAUGCAUUUUCGGGGUCCCCCGAGGCAUGCUCCUUGGGUUUAUUGUGUCUGAGCGAGGGAUCGAGGCCAACCCAGAAAAGGUCUCGGCCAUCGCAAACAUGGGCCCAAUUCGUAACCUAAAGGGAGUACAGAGAGUCAUGGGAUGUCUAGCCUCCCUAAGUCGUUUCAUCUCUCGUCUCGGGGAGAAAGCACUACCUCUGUAUAGGUUACUUAGGAAAUCCGAGCAUUUUUCCUGGACCCCCGAGGCCCAGGAAGCCCUUGACAAGCUCAAGGCUCUACUCACCAACCCUCCCAUUCUGGUACCUCCCGCCGAGGGGGAACCAUUGCUUCUCUAUGUCGCAGCCACUGAUCAGGUGGCUAGCGCAGCUAUCGUGGUCGAAAGGAAGGAAGAGGGGCACACCCUACCGGUCCAAAGACCGGUGUACUUCAUCAGUGAAGUACUGUCUGACACAAAGACCCAAUACCCCCAAAUCCAAAAACUACUCUACGCAGUAGUCCUGGCCCGACGCAAACUUCGCCAUUACUUUGAGUCCCAUCCUGUCUCGGUAGUAUCAUCUUUCCCUCUGGGGGAAGUGAUACAGAACCGAGAGGCUAAUGGUAGGAUUGCUAAGUGGGCUAUAGAACUUAUGGGUGAUGGGAUCACCUAUGAGCCUCGGAAGGCUAUAAAAUCCCUAGUCCUAGCGGAUUAUGUGGCAGAGUGGACUGGGACUCAACUCCCCCCACCUCAGAUCCAGCACGAGUGCUGGACCAUGUACUUCGACGGGUCCUUGAUGAAAACCGGGGCCAGCGCUGGCCUUGUCUUCAUCUCACCCCUCGGGGUAAGAAUGCGAUAUGCGAUCCGACUCCACUUCCCCGCCUUGAACAACGCGGCGGAGUACGAGGCCCUUGUCAACGAUCUCCACGCCGCGAUCGAGCUUGGGAUCAAAUGGCUUGACGUCCAAGGUGACUCUAGACUCAUCAUCGACCAAGUCAUGAAAGAGUCUAGCUGCCACGAUCCCAAGAUGGACGCGUACUGCAAAGCAGUCCGGCGCCUGGAGGAAAAGUUCGACGGCCUUGAGCUUAACCAUGUGUUAAGAAAAUACAAUGAGGCCGCCAACGCGCUCGCUAAGAUGGCAUCCGAACGGGCCACGGUCCCUCCGGAUGUUUUUGUCAGCGACCUCUACAAGCGUUCUGUCGACUAGAAGGACGACGUGGGGUCGGUUAAGCCCCCAAGCGAACUAAGCCCCACCCCCGAGGUCUCCACCGCUCAGAAGCAGGAGGCCAUGGACAUCGAGCCCAAGCCCCCAGCACCUGAUGACUCACCAGACUGGCGCUACCCACUACUGCAAUGCCUCGUCGACGGCACUUUGCCCUCUGACCAGGCUGAGGCUCGGCGUGUGGCUCGUCGAGCCAAGACUUUCACCCUCCUCGACGGAGAGAUGUACAAGCAUAGCCCCUCGGGCAUCCUUAUGCGCUGCAUCCCACGUCAGGAAGGAAUCAAGCUCCUGAGGGACAUACACUCGGGGGCUUGCGGCCACCAUUGUUGGGUAUUCUUAACAUCAUUACUAAAAGUAGACUAAGUUCUCUAAAUCUAGCAACGGUGCCAAAAAUGCCAAACCUAUCCCUUACACCACUUAAGCCAAGUUGUCAUCCCCAGCAUGAUAUAAGAGACGCGGUAUUGAAAUAUGCAAUUGCUCUUCUAAAUAAAUAAUUAAUGGGAUCUGCAAGCGCACAGAUUAAUACCGAUGUAGCAUUUUAACCGGGAAGUAUUCCAGGUAUCGUUAUUUAUAUUUUUACCACUGGGAAGGGAUUAGCAAUCAUCACUAUUGAUUACAGAAUAGAAUAUGAGAUUGAGCAACUAUCAUUGCAUGUAUAAUUGAGAACAUUAUAUCUAACUCUUCAUACAGGGAUAAGUGUCACAUAAAAGAUAUAUGAAAUAAUAAUAGUGACAAGGAUAACUAAUCUGAUCUAGCCACAUAAUAAAUAUGAUAAGCACCUCAAUUAGAUACUCUAGAAAGUCAUUAGCAUGGUAUUAGAACGAACUACAAGAAUAUUCCCUAAGUUAUUCUUAACUAUAUAGUCUAGCAUAUCAUAGUUAGUGCAAGCAUACUUAGCAAUCAUUGCGAGACAAGACUACGCCCAUGCAUAGUGAUAUUAGCAAGGAAUAUGAGAAACAUAGCAAUCACUCCCCUGUAAUAAUGUUGCUCUGCCAGCCCAAUACACGAGAGGGGGACUAUAUAAGAAUCAAUGAAGCUGUCACUAUCACGAACUACCCCACGAUCUGGCAUAUUGGGUACAAUCGCAGAUAAAUACGGUAUAAGCACCACGCCUACACAAUAUCUAUCAUUUACCCAUGGAUCCGAUGGAUAAACGCUAUACGAUCCUAAGCAUGUAUAUAGAUCGUAUCUAACUAAGCCAAGUACAUAACUAUGAUAAACUAAGAACAAUAUAAUCUUGAAUAUAAGCAAGUAGAGCAAAGUCAUAAGCAAUAUAUUGAAGUAGAACAAAGUCAUAUUCAUAAUAUUGAAGAACAAAGAUAAUUAGAAAGCAAUUAGAAGCACAAUUAGAGAAUUACCAAGAAUCCUCCUGACAGAUCCGGAAACCAAUCGAAGAUUGACUCCUUCUAGUUCUAAUCCUAUGUAGCUAUGCUAAUCUAGAUAUCUAAUUGAUGUGGUGGCUCUAAUCUUGAUCAGAGGCUUCUUCUCCCUUGAUGGAACAAUGAAUUAGGGUUGAGAGGCUCUCUCCUCCAGGGGCCAGGGGGUCUGGUUUUAUAGUCCCUUCAAGUGAAUAUGGGCCCUUGGAUCAAACCGACAUAGAUUGUAUGGUUUAGAUUCAUCCUUUAGGUCGGUGGAGACUUCCCGCAAAGCAGAGUCCUGGUUGGACUCCAGAGGUGGGCAGGCGCCCUGACCAACUAGGCGGCCGCCCAGGGUCUGGCCCCGUUUCGCCUCCGCUUCGGUCUCGUGGCUUCUGGAGUCUUCUAGAUGUAAGAUAAUUGCGCAGCACGUUAAUAUCUUUACGUAAUCCUGACAUGUGGGCCUUUCUUCCAUAUUUCCUGAUAACUCCCUGCAGAAAUAGACAAACACCAAAACUCGUGGAAUUCUGUCAGAUAAAACCCUAAGUCUAGAUCUUUAUUUCAUUUGGAUCCUUUUCUUUAUUUAUUUGAUAAUUAAAUUUGAUACUUAAGGACCGUCAACAACCAUCUCGAACGCUGGUAGGAAAUGCCUUCCGACAAGGUUUCUACUGGCCCACCGCCGUUGCUGACGCCACGGAAAUCGUGCGGACCUGUGAGGGAUGCCAAUUUUACGCUCGGCAAAUUCAUCUCCUCGCUCAGGCUCUGCAGACGAUCCCCAUCACCUGGCCCUUUGCAGUCUAGGGUCUCGACCUCGUCGGGCCUCUGCAAAAGGCGCCCGGGGGCUUCACCCACUUGCUUGUCACAAUCGACAAAUUCUCCAAGUGGAUUGAGGUCCGACCCAUCAGAAGGAUCAAGGCCGAACAAGCAGUGCUGUUCUUCACGGAUAUUAUCCAGCGAUUUGGAGUGCCAAACUCCAUGAUCACCGAUAACGGCACACAGUUCACUGGGCGAAAGUUCCUGUAGUUCUGUGACAGACACCACAUACGUGUGGACUGGGCAGCAGUGGCUCACCCAAAGACCAAUGGUCAGGUGGAGCGUGCCAAUGGCAUGAUCCUCUAGGGUCUGAAGCCUAGGAUUUUUAACCGGUUGAACAAGUUCGGAAAAAAGGUGGCUCAAAGAGCUACCGGCCGUGGUCUGGAGUUUAAGGACUUCACGAAGCCGAGCCACAGGCUUCACCCCGUUUUUCAUGGUCUAUGGGUCAGAAGCCGUCCUCCGCACGGACCUGGAGUACGGGUCCCCAAGGGUACAAGCCUACGACGAAAACAGCUGCAAGACGUACCAAGAAGACGCGCUGGACCAGCUGGAUGAAGCCAGAGACGUAGCCCUCCUACACUUUGCCAAGUACCAGCAGGCCCUCCGCCGAUACCACGCGCGACGAGUCCGAGGCCGAGCCUUUCAAGUUGGCGACUUGGUGUUGAGGCUCAGGCAGAGCAACAAGGGUCGUCACAAGUUCACGCCCCCCUGGGAAGGACCCUUCGUCAUCGGCGAAGUCCUCCGACCCGGCACCUACAAGCUCGCCAACGAAGCAGGGGAAGUCUUCAAGAACACGUGGAACAUAGAACAGCUACGUCGCUUCUACCCUUAGGAUUUUGUAAAAAUUUCCAUUUGUUCAUCACCUUGAAAGAAUAAAUGAAAAUUCAAGUUAUAUGACUGUUUCUUUUGAGUGAGCCUCGGACCUGCCUUGCAGAAUCCGAUCCUCCCUCGAGGGCUACAUGGGGGGAACCCCCUAUGGCAACUCCGAAUCUUUUUUCCUUUUCGCACAAGUCAAAAGAACCCCGACCCAGGGUCUUUCUCCCGUUUCCUAAAAAGAUUUAAGAAACUGAAGAUCCAUCACCUAAACCUUAAGGCAUGAGCCCGAGGAAAGAUCCACGCUCACGAGCAAAGACGACCUCUACUCGCCUUAGGGUCGGGGGGGGGGCAGAUCCGGACUUCUAAAAAAUUACUAAGGAAAAAGGAAAAGGACCCUGGCUAGCGCAGACUCUAAGUAGCUCACCCGACCCCACGCUGCCGAGGUCAGGUCGGCAUAAGGAAAAAGAAACAAGAUAACCAAGAAAAAGCUUAAAAGGAACAAUCAUACAACCGAUCAUACUUAGCAUUAAUGUUGUAUAUACACAAUACAAGGCUGUUGGGUAUUUUAAACACAAACAGAAAAAAUCCGCAAGCGCACGGAUACCGAUGUAGCUUUCACCCGGGAGUGUUCCAGAGUAUCGAUUUUCCACAGAGAGCGUGAGUGUACUAAUUAAGAUCCAAGAUUGCCCAAGGAUAACUAUAUAAUUAUUUUUGGUGGGAAGAGAGGAUGUUUCCUGAGAGUUCUCUAUUUGAUCUAAGAAUCAAGAAUUACUUCAAGAUUAUCUAUAUCGGGACAUCAGAGCACUAACCACAGAAAGAGAUGAGAAGGGGGCUAGGAAGGUCUGACUACGGUCCUACAAACGCUGAUCCGAACAAGGUGGAAUACGUCGACCGUUAGAGCUGUCACUACCCUAAGGCUACCACAACAAUCCGCAGGAUUGGGUGCAAUUCCAGGUAAUUACAAGACUAAACACCAUGUCUAAUCUAUUAAUUACUACUCUAAUGUUUCAAAGAUUAGAGCUCUUGAUGCAAGUGGAAAUCCAAUAAAUAACUUGAAUGUAAAUAAAAGUAAUUAAAGAACUCAGGAAUUAUGAAUUGAAGAACCUGGAGAACGAUGAAGAACGAACCAGUUGCUGCAAAGGUACAAUGUUGAGGAAGAUCCGACAGAUCCGGCUCCUCCUCCGCUCUCCUCUUCUCUCUCCCUAUUUUCUAGAUUACAACUAGAACUAACUAGAACUAGAACUAGAGGAACUAGAACUAGAACUAGAUGAACUAGAACUAGAACUAGAUGAACUAGAGGUAGAACUAGAAGAACUAGAGGGAUCCUCUCUACUUGGAUGAAGAAUUGAAACCCUAACUUUGAUUCUGUAGAAGAGGUAUGAUCUCCAGGGGCCAGGGGGCCUUGCUUAUAUAGUCUUUUCAAAUGAAUCUGGGCCGUUGGAUCAAACCAACAUUGAUUGAACGGUUAUCCUUGAUCCUUUAGGUUCGUGGAGCAAUAUCCCGAAAGAGAGUCCUGAUUGGACUCUAUGUGAGGGCGGGCGCCUAGGAAAGGAGGGCGGGCGCCCUGUCCCUGAGUCCUCUCGGUCUUCGCUUCGUUCCUGUGAGUUCUGGAGUCUUCUAGAUGAUAGAAAAUUGCACGGCACGUUAAUAUCUCUAUGUAAACCCGACGUGUGGGCCUUUCCUCCGUAUUUCCUGAUAACCCCCUAUAGAAAUAGACAAACACCAUGUUGACACCGUUUUUUGGACACGUGCACAGAAACCGGUAGAGUACAAGAUCGGCAGGCGGAGCAACGGUAACUAGACUGUGGAAGCAUUGCCGAUGAAGAAAGUUGCCGAUGAAGGGGCGGUUGGAUAUGGCUAAGUCCGGAAGUGAUAGCGUAUUCCUAACCGAUGACUAGUAUCAAUGUUUGCCGAUGGCGAUAGCAGGGAGGUUGCCGAUGGCUCUGCAGGAGUUGCCGAUUGACCCGUGGUGGUGUCCCGAUUACUUAGUUAUCUAGAUUUGUUUUGUAUACGGGCUCUGUUUAAUUUGGAAUUUGAAUCCUAGUCGUGUCUGAUUGUAGCUCUUUGAGCAGGGUAUAAAUGUAGACCCUAGGGCCUUGUAAUGAAUAAUCUAUCAAUCAAUCAAACACAAGUUUUUACUCAUAUUCCAGCAUCUACUUUUUUGACGACUUCGUCAUAUUUUCCUUUUACUACGAGUUCUUAGGAGUUCGUCGACUUAAGUUCGGUGUAUUCUCAAGUUCCGCGUGAAUACCUCUUGGCCGUGACAUCCGGGCGCAUCGCUGUUGUCGGGACCAAAGUAUUCGAGUUAUCACCUUUGCCGAUAGUAAGGUCAAAUCGGCUGGCACGCCUUAACGUUCGAAUCAGGUAUUAGCCCUUUGUGUUUGCAGAUCCGUUUUUGCAUCAACACAUCUUUUGGCACGCCCGGUGGGACCAAAUCAAGAUUUAGAUUAGCAUGGCGAAUACCGAGUUCGACUUGGAGAAUGUCAUCCCCGUGACGGAAGCCAAUCUCAAGGAUAAGCAGAAGCAAGCCAUUGCAAAAGCCAUGGAGGACUACAAGCAGCAAUGUUUGAAGUCUUUUAGUAUCAACAGGAGUGGCGAGGUGAUCCAGAAGGAGGCACUGCCGGCACCUCGGCAGGUUACUUUCGACGCCAAUCCUGGUAAACUCCAAUACAUGGUUGAUAGUGCUAUUAACCGUGUCUUGAUCAAUCAAGCUGGUGUGCUGUCCAAUACGGUUUUCAACGCCGUGGCUAGAACUUUCAAAGAAGGACAAUUGCCACCAAAUUAUGUGGGCCCUGUCUAUCAUCAGCCGGGAUCACCGGUGGUUACAGCUCCAUCGGAUGCUACAGCCGCUGCGGGCACAGAAACUAUUGUCCCUCCAAGCACGUUAGGAGUCACUAACGCGCAAUCUACGCCGAUGACGACCAAUCCAUUGACUUCAGAUGGGCAGAUCAAGCUUGCUACAGAUCUAUUGGCAUCGGUGAUGUCUGGAUCGGUUCCUCCUCCUAACUGGUGGGGUUAUGGUAUGCCCCUAGAGCUGACAUUGAAGACACCUGGCACGUCUCAGAUGGCUGAUUUGAGGGGCAAGGUUCCUAUGACAUCGGCAGCCCCAAAUUUGCUGAUGAGUCAGAGUCCCCAAUAUAAUACAACUACUAAUGCAAGGCCUUACACUGAGAAUUCUCAAGCUCCAACGUUCCAGAUGCCUAAUGCAUCGGUAGAUUCAAUGCCGACGCAAUAGAGGUUUAUGGCUCAGUCAGGGCAUGUCAAUUCUAUGACGAUGCCCAAUUACCAGACAUCGGCAGGGUCUAUGCCGAUGAAUGUUAAUGGUGGAUGGACUGUGCAGCAAGUCUUUCCACAAAUACCCCAACAGAAUCAUCAGGCUACAGGGUUUCAAUAAGGCCAGAUUUACCCUGGGUUCCAGAAUCAAGGAUUAGCCAACCAGCCAAUGAACCUUGGUGGUCAGCAGUUCGGUGGUCAGCAGUUUGGUGGUCAGCAGAUUGGUGGCCAAAUGAUUAACCUAAUGUUCCAUGCAGAUCACGCACCGCAUAGACACGUGGAAGUAUAUCAGUAGGUGCCGGAUCCGCAACCACCCCAUCGGCAGGAUGCCGAUGCUUAUUGGGCCGAUAAGAUUGCUGAAGUAAUGAGAGACCAAUUUGGGAUAAAACCCAAAGUCAACACUUAUUCUUAUCGGACACCGUAUCCUCCUGCAUAUGAUUUAAUCCCACUUCCAAAUCGGUACAAGGUGCCAGUUUUUACUAAGUUUUCUAGACCGGAUGACACAUCAACCAUGGAGCAUGUCAACAGGUUCAUCAUCCAAUGUGGAGAAGCUGCUAAUAGGGACGAGUUAAGGGUUCGCUUGUUCUCGUCAUCAUUAUCUGGAUCGGCUUUCACUUGGUUUAUAUCAUUACCUCCCAACUCAGUGAUUACUUGGGCCGAUCUGGAGAAACAGUUCCACAAAUACUUCUUUUCUGGAGUCCAUGAGAAGAAGAUCACCGAUUUGGUCAAAUUGAAGCAACGCAAUGAUGAAUCAGUUGAGAAUUUUGUGCAGAGGAUAUGGGUGGUCAAGAACAAAUGUUAUAGUCUGGUUUUGGACGAUCGGCAGCUAGCCGAUUUGGCUUUCCAGGGUUUGUUGCCGCACAUCAGGGACAAGUAUGCUUCUCAGGAGUUUGAAAGCUUAAGUCACUUGGUACAGAGAAUUUCUGAUCAAGAUAUUAGACCUUUUGAACCCAAGAGAGCAUGGAAUAAAAAGGUAUCGUUCGUUGAUGAAGCAGCAAGCUCGGAUUCUGAUGAGGAACCAGUCAUCGGCUUGGCAGAAUGGGUGAAAAAUAAGAAACCAAUGUCUUGUCCUUUUGGGCAUAACGAGCCAGAGAAGUUUGCGUUUGACAUCACCAAAGCCGAUAGGAUAUUCGACUUUCUACUUCAAGAAGGUCAGAUCAAGCUGUCACCCAAUCAUGUGAUUCCAUCAGCCAAAGAAUUAAAGAAGAUGAAAUAUUGCAAGUGGCACAAUGCAACUUCUCACAGCACCAAUGAGUGCAAAGUUUUCAGGCAACAGCUGCAAUCGGCUAUUGAAUCUGGGAGAAUCAAGUUUGAUAGUUCUAAAGCUCAGAAGCCGAUGAAGAUUGAUCAACACCCUUUUUCGACAAACAUGUUGGACGCUAAGGGGAAAACUAAGGUGCUGACGUCAGAAGCAGCUGAAAGAAAUGCAUCGGUUGAUCGUCAACAUCAGAUUACCACUGCCGAUGCUAAAGGAAAGGGUUUGAUCCGGGAGGGAUCCAAUUUAGGAAGGCCUCCCCGAUCUGGUAUUGUGAUAACUCAUAGAAUGCCUCGGGAGACUUGGCAGCAACAUGAAGAUCGGUAUCAGCGCCAGCAAGAAGAUUAUCAUCGGGAAGAAGAAAGACGCCGAUGGGAGUUGAAUCGGCACAAGGAUCACUGGAACUGCCCGUUCUUUGUCCAUUGCUGGGAGCAGAACAUUAAAUUACCUACUGUUGAAGAUUGCCCUGAGUGCAAUGGUUAUAAUCGGCAUGGCAGAUCUGAUCGGUGCCAUCAUGAUAACGAUCGGCGAUUUAAUGGGCCGAUUAGGGGGAGAGCAUCGGUUCAUGAUCGGCUGGGGGGGCAGACUCAGUGUACACGAUAGGCUUGAUGAUCGUGUUGGAUAUUUUCCCAUGGAUCAGGAAGAACUUGAGGAGAUGGCUAAUGCACAAGUUCCCGAUGAGUUCAUAUUUUGCAGGGAUGCUAAUACUCAUCGGAUGGAGUUGAGGGAACAUCGUUGUCCAUCGGCAAGGCAGUCACCCCUUCCCCCAUGGUGUCCAGAGGGAUUGACCAAGACACAGAAGAGGAGACUGCAACACGAGAGACGAGAAGAGCUAAGCAAGGGUGAGAAUUCUGGCCAGUCUGGGGAUCAGCAACAAUCAGACCCUAAGGGAAAAGGGCCAUCGGCAGGUGUUAACAUGGUAUUUAUGUUGCCGAUGGAAUUCCUUGCGCCCUCUAGUGAUGAUGAAGAGUUGGGGUUUUCCGACCAGAUAGCUCAAUUGGCUCUAGAUCCGAUGACAGCCAUCUUCGAAAAGCCUGCCGACAACGAAAGGCAGCAUCUUAAAGCUCUGUUUGUCAAAGGGAGAGUUGACGGUCAGCCCAUGACCAAGAUAUUGAUUGAUGGAGGAGCUGCUAUCAACAUCAUGCCGUAUACAGUCUAUCGGAAGCUUGGAAAAGGAGAUCAAGAUUUAACCAAGACCGAUAUGAUGCUCAAAGACUUUGAAGGGAACGUGUCUCCAGUCAAAGGAGCAAUAUGCGUCGAAUUGACCAUCGGCAGCAAAACCUUGCCGACAACUUUCCUCGUGAUCAGCGGAAAAGGUGCCUAUAAUUUGCUGCUAGGGAGAGAUUGGAUUCAUGCCAAUUGUUGCAUCCCAUCUACAAUGCACCAAUGCUUGGUACAAUGGGUAGGUGACAAGAUUGAGAUUGUCCCAGGAGAUUCUUCCUAUGUUAUUGCAUCAGCAGACGCAGAUACUUAUGAAAGGACUAGGUGCAUCUCGGGAGAAAUUUGGGAGAAGGAUUUCCUCAGAGUCGCCGAUUAUGAAAUUCCACCGAUCCAAGGAGUCGUUUCUGAUGAGGAGUUUUAAUGGAUAUGUUCGCCGAUGAUGGAAAAUUAGGCCAAGGAUUCACAUCGGCCGAUGAUUUGGUAGAAGUAGAUAUAGGUAGUGGUGAUAAACCGAGACCUACUUUUAUUAGUGCUAAGUUGAGUUCUGAGUGUAAGCAGCAGUUAACCGAUCUGUUAAAGGAAUAUAAAGAUUGCUUUGCUUGGGAUUAUACUGAGAUGCCUGGUUUAGACUGAUCAAUUGUUGAACAUCGGUUACCCAUCAAGUCUGGAUUUCAGCCGCAUCAACAGCCAGCUCGCCGAUGUAAUCCUAAUAUUCUUCCUGAUAUUAAGGCCAAAAUAACCAGACUUAUUGAAGCUAAAUUUAUUCGGCAAUGUUGGUAUGCCGAGUGGAUUUCCAAUGUUGUUCCAGUUUACAAGAAAAAUAGGAAGCUUCGGGUUUGCAUUGAUUUCAGGAAUCUUAAUAAAGCUACGUCGAUGGAUGGUUACCCGAUGCCGGUUACCGAUCUGCUAGUUGAUGCUGCGGCUGGGCAUCGGGUCAUUAGCUUUAUGGAUGGCAAUGCAGUAUUCAUGGCUGAAGAAGAUAUCCCAAAAACUGCAUUUAGAUGUCCUGGUCAUGUUGGGCUGUUUGAGUGGAUAGUCAUGACCUUUGGCUUGAAAAAUGCUGGUGCUACUUAUCAAAGGGCCAUGAAUUUUAUAUUUCACGAGUUCAUCGGCAAGCUGGUGGAGAUUUAUAUUGAUGAUGUGGUGGUUAAAUCUGGGGAUUUCACAAAGCAUCUUGCCGAUUUGCAAAAAGUGUUGGAAUGCACAAGAAAACAUGGUUUGAAGAUGAAUCCUAAUAAGUGUGCAUUUGGUGUAUCGGCAGGACAGUUUCUUCGUUUCAUGGUACAUCAAAGAGGGAUUGAGAUUAGCAGAAGAUCCAUUGAUGCUAUCAACAAAAUAGUUGCUCCUACCAACCAAACUGAGCUCCAGUCCUUGAUCGGCAAGGUGAAUUUUAUCAGAAGGUUUAUAUCUAAUUGCUCUGGUAAAAUCCGUGCUUUCAGUCCUUUACUCAAAUUAAAAGCCGAUCAAGAAUUCGUAUGGGGAAAAGAGCAACAGUUGGCCCUAGAUGAAAUCAAGAAUUAUUUGGUGAAUCCUCCGGUUCUGAUUCCACCUCAGCAAGGAAAGCCCUUCAGAUUGUAUUUGUCUACCGAUGGGAUGGUCAUCGGUUCAGCUUUGAUUCAAGAGUUUGAAGGGAAGGAGCGUGUUUAUUACUUAAGCAGAAGGUUGAUUGAUACUGAGACCAAGUAUUCGGCUAUUGAGAAACUAUGCUUAUGUUUGUAUUUCUCCUGUAUUAAGUUAAGACAUUAUUUGCUAUCGGCCGAAUGCACUGUUGUUUGCAAAGAUGAUGUGGUCCAAUAAAUGCUAUUUAUGCCGAUCAUGAGUGGUAGAAUCGGUAAGUGGAUUUUUGCAUUGUCGGAAUUCGAUCUGCGUUACGAAUCGGCUAAAGCGGUUAAAGGACAAGUUAUGGCCGAUUUUGUGACUCAACAUUGCGGUACAGUGGAAACUUUGGAAAUCGUACCUUGGACACUCUUCUUUGAUGGAUCCACGUGUGAUUGGGGGGCAGGAAUCGGCAUAGUGCUAAUUUCCCCUCAGGGAAGGUAGUAUGAAUUCUCCUUACCGAUUGCUGCCGGAUCAACGAAUAAUCAAGCUGAGUAUCAAGCUCUAAUCAAAGGGUUGGAGUUGUUAAAAGAAGUUCAUGCUGAUGCUGUCGAGAUCUUCGGGGAUUCCAUGCUGGUUAUAAAUCAAUUAGCUAGGAUUUAUGAAUGCCAAAGUGAAGUCCUGAUAACUUAUUACGAAAGGAGUAUGCAAUUAUUAAAGGAAUUCAAGGAUUUCCAAUUAGAACAUGUUCCUCGGUUGCAUAAUGAGGAGGCCAAACGGUUGGCUCAGCAUGCUUCGGGAUACCAGCCCAUGUUGAAUACAAUAUUGGCAGUUGGUGCUGGUGAUUGGAGAAAAGAAAUUGUUAAUUAUUUGAAGGAUCCAUCCAAGAAAGUCGAGAGACGUGUUCGGUUUCAAGCCACCAAGUAUGUGCUCCUCGGAGAUGAAUUGUAUUAUCGAACAAUUCAUGGAAUUCUUCUCAAAUGCUUGGGUGAUGAUGAAGCUAAAAGUUUGAUGGGAGAAAUCCAUGAAGGAGUAUGUGGAGCACAUCAGUCGGCAUUCAAGAUGAAGUGGAUGAUUAGGAGGAAUGGGUAUUAUUGGCCAACCAUACUUGAAGAUUGCUUUAAAUAUUUCAAGGGAUGUCAAGGGUGUCAGAAGUUUGGCAAUGUUCAAAGAGCACCCGCAUCGGCCAUGAAUCCCAUUAUUAAGCCUUGGCCGUUCCGGGGAUGGGCUAUUGAUCUAAUCGGUCAGAUUUAUCCGCCUUCUAGUAAAGGACACAAAUUCAUCUUAGUUGCUACUGAUUAUUUCACCAAGUGGGUUGAAGCAAUUCCUUUGAAGAAGGUUACAUCGGCCAAUAUGAUUGAUUUUGUGAAGGAGCAUAUUAUUUACCGAUUUGGUAUUCCUCAGACGAUUACUACCGAUCAGGGUACUAUGUUCACAUCGGGGGAGUUUGACGAGUUUGCAAUCGGUAUGGGAAUUAAAGUGUUGAAUUCUUCUCCUUAUUAUGCUCAAGCUAAAGGGCAGGCCGAGGCAUCUAACAAAGGAAUUAUCAAGCUUAUUAAAUGAAAUAUUGAAGAAAACCCUAGAAGGUGGCAUAUGUUGUUGAAUGAAGCUUUAUGGUCAUAUCGGAUGGCUUGUCAUGGAUCGACCAAAGUUUCACCUUAUCAAUUGGUGUAUGGGCACGAUGCAGUGUUACCUUGGGAGAUUAAGACUGGAUCUAGGCGACUAUCUUUUCAAAACCAAUUGACUGCCGAUGAUUAUGCUACUUUGAUGACAGACGAGUUGGAUGAUCUAGCGGAGCAUCAGUUGAAGGCUUUGAUAAGUAUAGAAGAGAAUAAGAAGAGAGUUGCCAGAUGGUAUGAUAAGAGGGUAAAACCUAAGGAGUUUGCCGAUGGAGAUUUAGUAUGGAAACUAAUUUUACCGAUCGGGACUAAAAGUUCAAAGUUCGGGAAGUGGUCUCCUAAUUGGGAAGGUCCCUAUCGAGUAAAUCGGUCGGCUCCUGGAAAUGCUUAUAUCUUAGAAACUCUCGAAGGAGUCGAAUUUCCCAGGGCAUUAAAUGGUAAAUAUCUAAAAAAAUAUUACCCAAGCAUCUGGGUCGAUGCGUAGAAGUUUAAAUGCCGAUAACAUUUCUAUCGGCUGGAUCAAACUGUGUCUGGAAGCGGACUUAAUGUUUUAAACGGGUGCCGAUAACAGUCCUAUCGGCUAGACCAAAAUGGUUAGAAUGAAGAAGCAAAGAACACCGCCGAUGAAGAGUUCAUAUGUUCAACAGCGCCUGGAUUGUUGAUAUGGCAUGCAGACGGAUCUGGUUGGCUUCUUCUAUCUCUUUCACGUCAUCAUCGGCAGAACCCUCCACUGGCUUCAGCUUCUUCUUCAUCUGCAACGUUUUGCGGCCAUGAACAUUUCGCUCUUGUUCAAGAAGUUUGAUCAUCUCAGGCAGCUGGCUUUCCUCUUGUUGAGCUUGGGACAAAGCUUCUUCUACUUGCUUGAGUUCUGCCAACAGGGCUUCUCUUUUUGCCGACAGAUCAGAGAUCUUAUGCUUCAGCGCAUCUCCUGAGGACUUCAAGAUGCCGAUGUUCUUGUGUUUCUCAUCGGCAAGGAGCUUCACUUUCAUCAUCUCCUCAGAAAGCUAAGCCUGAGCAACUCUAUCGGCAAGACGCUGGGUAGCCUUUUGGUAUUGCAGCUGACGGCUCUCUAGAUGUGCAGCUUGAAAAAGGAUUUCUUCGGCAUCGGCAGGAAUUUGGCCUCUGAGGGUCUUGAACAAGGUCUUUGCCAGGUCGGAGUCAUCAACCAGUUGGGCUGUGUCUUGAUGAAGGAGGGCUGAUAAUUCUUCUAACUUUGCCCUGAUAUCUGCCGAUGUAAUUCCGACUGCUUGAGAAGAACUUGCCUCCUCGCCUUCAUCCUCAGAGAUGUCAAUGGCAAAGGAGAAUAGGCUGUCAGGAGAAUCUUAUUCCUGAAAAGGAAGAUAAAAUAAGUUACUCUAUGAUCAAGCAUUGAUAAACGAUGCAGAUAGAGAUUGGGUAACUUACUUGCUUCAGGGCCAUCUCUCACCUCUGACUAGAUGAUGCCGAUGGAACCACGGGCUGAUCGGCUGGAAUUGCCGAUGAGACUAUGUCAGCUGGAAGAUUAACAGAAAUAAUUACAAGACGGGGAAAAUAAGUUCAUCGGCAAUGAUUUCCUAGAGAAUAUGUUACCUCAAGGAGGAACAGUACUUAUUUGGAUGGAGGAAACUACCGGUGCUAUAAUUGAACUUCCUGGAUCGGCAGUUUGCUCAUGCACGUCAGCCGAUGAGCCUUCUGGCUGAGGUUCCUCUGGCUGGGGUUCUUCUGCGUGAGGUUCUUCUUGUGGCUGAGGAGAAGGUAUCUGUUGUGUCUGAGCUUCUGGAGAAGAAGGAGAAGACUCCGCUGGGAUUGGAGAUACUGGGGGAGGAGAAGGCGUUGCCAUUCUUUGGUGCUUUGCUUGUAAUCUGGUACUUGUUGACGGUCCUUAAGUACCAAAUAUAAUCAUCAAAUAAAUAAAGAAAAGGAUCAAAAUGCAAUCAACACCUAGACUUUGGGUUUUAUCUGACAGGAUUCCACGAGUUUUGGUGUUUUUCUCUUUCUGCAGGGGGUUAUUAAGAAAUAAGGAAGAAAGGCCCACAUGUCGGGUUUACAUAGAGAUAUUAAUGUGCCGUGCAAUUUUCUAUCAUCUAGAAGAGUCCAGAAACCACGGGAACGAACGGGAGAUCGAACGGGCCCGGGGGCAGGGCGCCCGCCCUCUCCCCUUGGGCGCCCGCCCAGGUGUUUCCACCAAUCACAGAAUGGAGUACACCAUUGCAAAGAUCUCGUCGAGCUGAUCGAAAUGCAUAUAUUACUUGCUAUAUUUGGAGUUCGGAAUCAAAAGAUAUUAAUAAAAGAAGGACUCCACAUAAAAGAGCUGCGGGAUUAAUUGGGCCCAAAUCAGAUUUUGGUCCAUUAAGGCCUAUGUGCAUUUUAAUGAGAUAUGGUGGAACGUUUAGUACCACAUCGCCUGCUGAACCAAAAACGAACAGAGGAGGAGGACUAUAUAAGCAAGGCCCCUGGCCCCUAGAGAAGACAAGAAAUUAUCAUAGAGAUUGAGGGGUGCCCUCGAAGGAAAACCUCUUCUCUAAUUAAUAUUUCUUUUUAGGCUUAGCAACCAAUGUAAGUAGAAAUAGAUCUUCUAGUUUCUACUAGAUUGAGAGAGAUAGAGUGGAGGUGUGGAUCGGAGGAAGGCCGGCCUGUCGGUGUCUACUCCGAGUUGUACCUAUGGGAUCAAGUCUUCUAACCCGAGGCUUGCUUCUAAGAUUCUUCAGUAAUUCGACUUCUAAUACUAGUAAGUUCUUGUUUUAUUGUUCUUUGGUUUAUGAGUUUACUUUAAUCCUCUUCCCGUUGAGUAUUAGAGUAAUCACUUGCUAGCGUAAACGUGGUGUUUAGGCUAGGGUACUCAUAGAUAUCCCCUGACUAGCUGGACCGUGGUAGUAGCAAGGAACGUGACAUUUCCGAGUUACCUUUGCAGAUCACAUCUCGUUAGCAGGACGGGUAGGUUUAUAGGUGCGGGUCGAACAUCCUUUGUGUUGUCUAGAUUCCGUGAGCCUCCCCAAUAGAACAGUAGAUCAUCCUUAUUAAGGUUAGAACGAGACUACGGUUGCAGUCUUCUCUAUACAUCACUCACAUCGAGAAACAUUCUUUGUAGCCUAAAGGGGUACUAGCAAUAGAUUUGGUUAGUCAGAUGCACCCUUUCUCCCAGUGGUAAAAAUAUAAAUACGAUACUCUGGAAAACCUCCCGGGUGAAAUGCUCACCGAUAUCCGUGCGCUUGCGGAUCAUUUUCUAAUUGCGUUACCAAAUAUCAACAAGCAUUUCUGGCGCCGUUGCCGGGGAGAAAGACGGUUUGCUGAGAUAACUUUGAAUCUUGCUAUUAUCUUGUAUUAUACUUUUAUACUUUUAUUCUUUUAUCUUUUUAUUUUUAUCUUUAUGGAUAACUCAAAUUCCAUACCUAUUAUUAAAUUCUUUGCACCUUCGGAGACCAGCCAUAGACCAUGGGAGUCAACACGUCCUGCCCCUAAUUAUGAUCUGUGUCCGGAGUUGAUUGCAAUAGGUCAAAACCAACCCUUUUCUAUAGCUGAGGUCCUAUCUUUUAAUCAAGAAGAUAAUGCACUUUUAGCUACACCUAGGGAAUCUGUUAAUCUUUCUAUAAAUUCUGGUUUAGACCUAGCCCUACAAGACCAUGUUUUUCCUAGAUAUUUUCACAUUGGUCUUAAUCAUAUAAUUUUUGGUAGAGUCUUUCUUUCUUUAUCUAUUAGUAAACGAAGGUAUGUCUUCAUUUGUGGACAUCCUUCUUGUACUAGUCUUCAUAGAAAAAUCUUAGAGAUAGAGAAGGAAUCAUCUCCCAUACAAGGAGAGGAAGUUUCAAUAGCCGAUUUCCAAACAUUUCAAUCCCAUGAUUCGGCUAUCCAACCCAUCCUUGAGCUUAAUAUAUUCUACUAUGCUCUUUCUCUUGAACCUCCCGAUAAUCCUUUGAAUCUCUCUAGACAUCUCAUGCAUAAGAAGGAGGAUCGAGAAGAGCAACAUCGAUGGCUAGAGGGCAUUAAAAAUCCAUGUGCUAUCACAAUUGAAUGGAUAGAUAAAACAAGCUUGAGAGACAAUCCUAGAGGAAUUUUAAACAUUCAUGAAGAAUCAUCCUUGGAGUUUGAGAAUGAGAGAAACAACAGUGAACAUGGAAGUUAUUUCAUAAAUACCUCACCAAGUCCAUGCUCAUAUGCAACAUCUCCCCAAUCAAUUAGUCUCUCCAACAUUACCACAUUUGAGAUCUCCAACCCUCUCUUCUUUUCUAUUUAUAAAAACUUUAAAAGAGCGGUUGUCGAUGCAUAUGUCUAUAAUAAAUAUUGCAGAUCUCGCUGAGUUAAUCGAUGGUUUCCCAAGGACAAGCUUAGUGUCCUAAAACAAGCACUUAUCAGAUCAUAACAUGAACUUUUAAUUAUUUGCAACAUUGCCUUGUGUAUUGAGCAUAUAAAGAUAAUUGUAGAAAUAUUCCUUCGGGUAUUCGUGUCACUAACCUUUCUAGGAUUGGAGCAAGAAGAUCUGAGGAAUGACAAGCACAAGGUAUGUCCAACCAAUCAUCAUGCAAAAUUGAAUUAAAUUCAUCCAAACUUGAAUUUUGCAAAAUUCAAGCUUGGGGGAGUACUUUACAUAAAACAUCCUUUGCCAUGUUGCUAUGUUGGUUGUCCUUACCUUUGUGACAUGCUCAAUUUGUUAAAUACUAAUCACACUACUUCAUCUCCACUUAAGUAGAUCUUUAUAAGCCAUCAUGCUACCUUUGUUUAUCCUAGUAAGUGUUAGUUUGGAAGUACUGUACAUACUUCUAUUGGCUUUUAAAUUAAGCGUGGUGCUUAGGUUAAAUAGCCUCCCUUAAUCUAAUUAGACAUGGAGUCUAGUUUGGUUACUGAACUAAAAACUGCUUGAGUAGGCAUUGGUAUAUUUUGUCGGACUAACCCCUGCAGGGAAACUUUCAAUAUCAACCUGGGAAGUCCUGAGAUAAACUCACAUUGGAGACAAGGAGAGGGACACAUGAAGUUUAACAAUUUACACGAGGAAGACGUAGCUCAUAAGAGAUGAUCCAUGGAGGGUGCCACAAACACGAUGCACAACCGCUAAGAAAGGAAAGCUUCUACAAGGUGAUACUGUACCGCCACUCUUCAAGUAAGGUAACAUUCUAAGGUACUUGACUAUCACUUUUAUAAGCUUCUCCUUGGUUCUAGCAUUCACAUAAAUAAAGAGACAAACAUGUAUGAUUUAUAACACCAAAUUAACCAACCCAAUUAAUUCAACAUGAUUAGUCCUUUAAUCUUUGUUCUUAGUACUACCUUCGUGAUCCCACACUCCUAAUCAUAUAAGCUAAAAUGUUGCACAUUCAAUCUUUGGAAGAUAUAAACACAACAUAAAUAUAGAUAGAUUAUCUUUCCAUUAGGUUGAGCUAUAUGAUCUGACAAAUGUUUCAAAUCCUACACUCAUGAUCCUAUCAACUUUGUCUUGCUCACUAUGCUUAAGGUUAGAGAAGAACAAAUACACUUUUGGUUCUGUUGGUGUUUUCCACCAACAGGGCCCAUGCACUUGAUCUCUGCCUUGUCUCUAUGAACAGGUACACUUCAAACAAAACAUGGAGGAGUUUUACAACUCCCAGAUUCCACCAAGUGAAGAACCGGGAUCUACGAGCACAAAAUACAAUGGAGAUCGGACACUUAGUUUUCCAAAGGAAAUAUUGAAGAACCUCUGUGUCCGAGUUGGUACCUUGUACGCUCCAGCAAACUUCGUGGUGAUAGAGGCUGGUACUGAGGAGAGGGCACCCAUCAUCUUACGGAGGCCAUUCCUAAACACCAGAGCAGUCAUCUACGCUAAUGCUGCCAAGAUCAGUCUCUACAUCAAGGGGAAGAAGGAGACUUUCCUUCAAGAACAAGACUACACAAGCUUCAGAGCAAACCCGACAUGAACCAAGGAAGAGGACCAAUAGGAGGAACAAGAACAAGCAAAUGUGGACCGAGUCAGCUGAGAUGGUCACUGCAGCUCAAGGAGGUCAAGAUCGUCGACUCAAGUCACCUUUCUUGAUCAAGAAGGACGACCCUGAUGUUCCAAGCAUUGAGUGCACAAUCAACAGAUACUCUUUUUAGAAGACACUCUACGACACCAGAUCUGACGACUACAUAAUGGCUGCAGUCACUUAUCAGCUCCUGCAUAGAACCAUGCCCUUAUAACCAACAUACAUUCUGCUCCAGAUAAUCUUCAGGUCAUUAACAUGGGAGAAGACGAGUAUGAUCCACCCACCAUCCUUAGAAGACCGUUCCUCAACACUAUCAAAGCCAUCAUCUAUAUUGGAACCGGAGAAGUCCACAUACACUUCCCCUCUGAGAAGGUACGCCACUACUUUAAUAAUUCUAACUAUAUAGUUGAAGAUUCUAAGCAGGUCAAGACAAGAAGAAGAUAACGCAACCGCAACCAGAGGAGGCAAAUCAUCAAGGACGGAUGGGCAGACUACGAAGGAGAAGUGAUAAGGACUGAAGACAUACAGCUUGAAUACAACUAUCCUGAGGAGACCGUAGCACCGAGUCAGGUGUGGAGAGAGAAGAUAGUUAUACACGAAGAAGGGGCGCCGCCGGAACCACCGACUACGCCACCUAGCGAAUCCCAGGACGACUAAGAAAACGGAGAGUCCCGUUCGGAGGACUUAAAAAUACCGAACGCCUUGCCAAGAGGUAAACUUGGUAGUUAUCCUUUUCCAUUCAAUAGUUUGCUUAGUUAAUCAGGUUCAUGCUAUCUUGAAAAGAAAAUAAAUGUUAAAAAAUAGUAAGCCCCAUGUGAGUAUGCUCAUGACAUAAAACCCAUAAGUACAUUCACUGUGGUGGCAUGAAAAUAAAAUAAAUAAGUUUUCAUCUUACAAUAAAAAUAUAAAAAUAAUAAGUGCAUGAUCCUGCUAAAUAAGUAAUAUUGAGGAGGCUCAACAUGAUAAAGGCUAGAUAUUUAUGCUAACACUUAACCAGUUCCACAAAGCUUUGUUGUCUAUUUGAGCUCCACAGAAUUCAAGGAUCAAAGAAGACUAGCAGACGGAGGACAUCCUAAUCGCUGUCGGGGUGCUGUCGACUUUCAAAUACACCUCCAUCACCUGCUAGCUACAUCAGAAGAAAUUACGUCAAAAUUCAGCUUGGGGGAGAGCACCCCCAUUUAUCUCGCUAAGUAUUUCUACCUAUCUUUAUACUUAUAUUAUGUUAGAAUAUUAAAAUACAUAAAUUAUGAAAAACCCAAAUAAAGAUUUUGUGCUUUUAUAUAUAUAUAUCUUUGCUUAGUUUGCUAAAUAAAUAAAUAAAUAAAAUUUGCUAUAAACCCUCAUGAUAAGCUCUCUCAUGGAAAUGAUGAAUAGUUGCUCUGCUAUGACUAGUUCUUAAAAUUGAAAUCUCUCUCAAGUUUAGGCAUAACUGUAAUAAUUUAAAGCUUGCUCUAAACCUAAACUUGUGGGAAGAGUACUUGAUCUAAAGUCUAAGUCGUUAACGGAUAUGAUAUGAGAAGGAUGAGCUGCUGUUUAUCUGUUCCUAGAGAUGCUAGAAUUCUGGAGAAUUUUAUCUUUGAAAAAAUCUUUAAAAUAACACAUGAUGAGUUCCUGUAUGAUGAGAGUUUAAAAUCCUACCACAGCCAUAUAUACAUGCUUACUAGACUUUGAGCCACAUAUUUACUUUUUACUGCUUAUGAGCAUUGAGUGUGGUCAAGCUGUGUAGACCCUUAGGAGCUUGUCAUGUGUUUAAAAUCAAGAUUCACUUGCACGUUCACUAAUACAUGCUACUUCUACUCCGGAAGUACGCAUCCACAUAUAUCCACUCAUUUCCAUCUCCACAUUCACCCGAAAUUAUUCUACUCCUAAUCCGGAAGAGAAUAGCAAAAAAAUAUUUUCCUAUCCCUGUUAUUCCCUGUGAAAUAAAUGCUCCAGUUAUUUUGGUUACUACCACUUGCUACAUUCUUUCAGGAGAUGAGUGCUCUAAAAAAAGAGAAAGAGAAAAAGAAAGAAAAAAUAAUAAUAAUAAUAAUACGAGGAAAUAAAAAGGAGCAAGUGCCCGGAACCUCGAAGAAAAGAAAACGUGAGACGAGAGGUAAAAAUGGACAAGUGUCCGACAGUAGAAUUAGGGGUACAAGAUACCCACCUGAGAGGAAAGAAAAAGAAAAUAUAGAGCAUCUCAUUCUCCCCAAAAAGCUUCAAAGUACAAGAAAGGUAUGUAUCCCAUCAAAAGAGCAUAAAAAAUAGAAUUAGACUUUCACCAUCAUUAUCACCAUCAUCACCAUACACCAUUCAUUCGCCGCACAUGCACAUCUUGAUUUGACUUAUUGAUUUGUUUCUCUGGAUCCAUGGUUUGACUAUGCAAUAAAUGUCUUGUAAGUAUGUAUUAGCUGUCUCCCACCUAUGAGCUCCAGAUAUCAGAACUUUAUUAGAGUAGGGUGAGAGAGAAGGCAAUAUCACUAUGCCUCAUACCAAAAAUACCACAUACUUUGAGAGAAGGCAUAUACCAUUACUGCCUUGGUAAGGAUCCAUAAAUACCACAAAAGAGAGAUCUAAGAGAGUCAUAUAAGGAAUCUCUGAGUUUUAUUUGAAAAUCUGCAAAAACCCCAGAGCUAUAGCUGAUCAAGAAUAAGAGACAUGGCGCUUGACUUGACCGUUCUAUCUUUUAACUGCUCAAGACACAAGUGACGGUUACAAGCCCCAUGGUGAAAGGUAAAAUGAGUAAGUUUUAAGUGUUAACAGUUUAUUCUAACUCAGAGAUGAGAUCUUGAUUAAACGCAUGUGUAUUUUUAAGGCAUAAAACCACUGCAGAAACUCUUGAGUCCAUCCUUGCUCAGGGACGAGCAAGAGGUAAGCUUGGGGGAGUUGUUGACGGUCCUUAAGUACCAAAUAUAAUCAUCAAAUAAAUAAAGAAAAGGAUCCAAAUGCAAUCAACACCUAGACUUAGGGUUUUAUCUGACAGGAUUCCACGAGUUUUGGUGUUUUUCUCUUUCUGCAGGGGGUUAUCAAGAAAUAAGGAAGAAAAGCCCACAUGUCGGGUUUACAUAGAGAUAUUAAUGUGCCGGGCAAUUUUCUAUCAUCUAGAAGAGUCCAGAAACCACGGGAACGAACGGGAGAUCGAACGGGCCCGGGGGCAGGGCGCCCGCCCUCUCCCCUUGGGCGCCCGCCCAGGUGUUUCCACCAAUCACAGAAUGGAGUACACCAUUGCAAAGAUCUCGUCGAGCUGAUCGAAAUGCAUAUAUUACUUGCUAUAUUUGGAGUUCGGAAUCAAAAGAUAUUAAUAAAAGAAGGACUCCACAUAAAAGAGCUGCGGGAUUAAUUGGGCCCAAAUCAGAUUUUGGUCCAUUAAGGCCUAUGUGCAUUUUAAUGAGAUAUAGUGGAACGUUUAGUACCACAUCGCCUGCUGAACCAAAAACGCACAGAGGAGGAGGACUAUAUAAGCAAGGCCCCUGGGCCCUGGAGAAGACAAGAAAUUAUCAUAGAGAUUGAGGGGUGCCCUCGAAGGAAAACCUCUUCUGUAAUUAAUAUUUCUUUUU
rnacentral:lncRNA from 1 species